rnacentral:lncRNA from 1 species
CCUCCUCAAACGACAUUGAGCAGAUGCCGGAAACCCCCCACCGCGGCGGCUCCUACCACCGGCGCGCCCACUCCGACUUCUCCUCCUUCCGCCUCCCCAACUUCGACGACCUCCUCCUCUUCGACCCUUCCGACCUCGACCUCUCCUCCUUCCCCUCUCCCGUCCCGCCACGUGGCGCCACCUCCACCUCCUCCGCCGCCGUCCCCAUGCCGAUCGAUGACUCCGACGACUCCUCCGCCUCCCGCCCCAGGCCCAGCUCCUCCGCCACCGCCGCUCAUUUCCGCAGCCUCUCCGUCGACUCCGACUUCUUCGACGGCCUCGGAUUCUCCGGAGACGCCGUCUCCGGGAAGGAAGUCGUUGGGGGUAAGAGGCCCGGCGCCGGCGGCCACAGGCAUAGCAACUCCAUGGACGGCUCCUUCGAUUCUGAGCUCUCUCUCGAUGGUCUCAAGAAGUCCAUCACUCCUGAUAAGCUCGCUGAGCUCUCUCUGAUUGACCCCAAGAGAGCUAAAAGGUCUCUCCUUUUUCUAUUUCUGCUUCAAUUUCCUCAACUGUGAUCAUUGCUUCUUUCAUUUUAGGGUUUACCAAAUUUGAGAUCAACUAAAUUGGGCGGAAUUUAAUUUUCGGAAAUUUUCACAGUAUUGAAUCCAAUUUGAUAUAUUAGUUAAGAACCGGUAAUUUAUUUAAUAUUCCUGACAAUUGGAUUGUUUUUGUUUGUAGAUAUUAUUAAGUCGAAUGAGAAAUUGAGAUUUUUAAUUUUUUGUGGUGGACAGGAUCUUAGCUAAUAGGCAAUCUGCGGCGAGGUCCAAGGAGAGGAAGGUGAGAUAUGCAAAUGAGCUGGAGAGGAAGGUGCAGACGCUUCAGACAGAGGCUACCACUCUAUCGGCACAGGUCACACUGUUACAGGUAAUACCUAAGACUUUGACUUCUGUAGGGGAGUAUGAAAUGGGCAAGACCAUUAGGUACUACUUGCUGAAUGGAAUGGAACCCACUGUUUGGCUUGUUAUGCUUCUUCUUUGCAAAAUGGAAUUUUAUGGCUUGCAAUGAUCACCAUGAAGUUAAUUUCUUUGUUUGUUUUGUGGGGGCGUGUUUUGGUUUCUGAGCAUGGUUGGUAUCUUUCAAGAUGUUACUUGCAUCUGUUUCUUGUUUUCUACUUGUUAAUUUGUUAAUAUAUUGGUUCCUACAAUAAAGAUGCUUUGAAAACAAGCAAACAAUCAGCAAAAAAAGACAUGCAUACAAAUUUACAAGUUUCAUAAGGUAACUGUGUCUGUCACAACCAUCUUAGUUGUACAUCCAGCAUUUGUACAGGGACCAAUGGUUUAGUUUCAAAUGUGACCCAAACUUUAACCAAUGCCGUGUCUUAAUUUCAUGGCGCUGAUUUUUAAGUGCUUAGUAAUCAUUACAUGCUUUUCCUAGAAAACCAAUUACAUGGUAAGUAUUUGUGUAUGGUAUCCUAGUGACUAGUCUGGGUUGUUUGUGCAUAUGAGUAUGUAGUUAAAGUUCUUACUCUAAACGGUUGACCUGAAUGUGAAAAUGACAUAGUUGUUCCUAGCCUUUAAAAAGUAAGGCCUAGUUCCUAAAAAGUGCCAAAAGAUGAACUUGUUUUCUAAGGUGGAUGACAAUCAUUUGAGUAAUAAGAUCCACAUAACAUUCUCUUCAUUCGAGUAAUUUUAUAUCGUAAGAUACAUUAAAUGUCAGUUUGUAAAAGGAAAAUAUGUAAGCAUACAUCUAUAGACCCCCCUGCUCUGUGUUUAUAUGCAGCCUGAUAGUGUUAGGUUAUAACUCCAGAGCGACAAGGUCCAAAGCGGUUUUAGGCGCGGCUGUUCAGCUGUGUCUAAGACGGACCAAUAACAGUCUAACAUGCUAGGUCUGGAACACCCUGCUACUAUUCGAAUAGCCCCUAAUAUGUUAGUCUGUUAUGUCAGUGGGUCUGAUGAGCCCUGUGGCACAACAACCACUCUCAGAGACCUUUAGCUGGACUUGGGAAUAAUGAGUCGGGCUUAUAUAUAGUAUAAUUUGCAUCUUUAGGUGGGAAGUGUUUGGAGUUAAGACCAUUUUUGACCUUUUUCACUGUGAAGUCACGAGCGCCCCUAAUUUUGUUAUGAUACUGUAAGAACGUUACUUCGUAUAUAUUAAUGUCAUAUUAAAUAAUUAAUACAAUGUUAUACUUAAUAGCCUAAUAAUCUGCUAUACAUAAUAGCCUAGUAAUCUGCAAUGCUAACGUUUAGUGAGAGCAUCAUGGAGGUGGUUUAAUACUCAGCAAUCAUCUUUUUUCUCUUAGGACAAGUCUAUAAUACUAUUAAGAGCUCUCUUUCUCCUGUUCAGAGCUCUCUCUUCCUUUUCUUCCGUCAAACAUUGGUUUAUCUUUCUUCAUUAAAGGUUCUAUAGUUUGAUGUGACAAAUGGAUUUGAGAAUCUGGGAUAUUCAUUUGAAACUACUGACGCGUUAACUUUUUUUUUAAUUUUUUUUUUUAUCAGUUUCUCAUUGAUUGAUUGUACAAAUUUGGGGUCUUCCACUGAAUCUACUUGCUUACAAUAGUAUCUACUGAAUAGCUGAUAUUCUAUUUAAAAGUCUGGACAUAUCCAAGCCAUAUCUAGAUCUAACAGCUGCUUCAUGCAACCAGGUCUUGUAUUUUCAGGCUUCUUGAAUAUGGUGGAAAGUUUGUUUGUUAUAGCUUAGUUUCAGUGUGUAGAACAAGGUAGGUGCAUCUUCAGAUGUGCAUACAAUAAUAUAUGCAUGCGGCGUGUAAAGUAUGAAUAUCUAAAUUGUUACUGCCAAACACUUCAAAACAUGAUAUAGAUAUACAUUUGAUGUUCCACGUGAAUGGAUGUAUCUGUCUCGUUAAAUUAUCGGUGGGUCCAGGGUACUUAAUUUCAAUUGCAUAAAAUUAUGCAAAUUCUAUUGCUGUCAGCUUGCUGAUCACCUGUAAGAACUCAGAUUGUGUCUUGUUGUGCUCUGAUGUUGGUGGAAGUCACCAAAGAACAUAACAAGACACCAAAGAACAUAACAAGACAAAUAAUAAAGGAAAUGUGACAAUAAAUACAAUGUACAUUGAUAUGUAUCUUAUAUUUGAUGCAGAGAGACACCACUGCAAUAACUGCUGAGAAUAAGGAGCUCAAAAUUCGGCUACAGGCUAUGGAGCAACAAGCACAACUGAGAGAUGGUAAUGCUUAUGGUUUAGUAUGUUUAUUUAUAGGGUAAAUAGUGAAACUGUUUAAUUUCAUGUGCUUCGAAACACUUAUAGCUUUGAAGUUAAAUUAGCUUAUCGCUGAAACUUAUAUAUGUUUUAAUUAUUUAAGUAAUUAUUAUUAAUUUACACCUACAGCGUUGAAUGAAAAACUAAAGGAGGAAGUGGAGCGGCUUAAGAUUGAAACCAACCAAACCCCCCUUGGGAAUGGAAACCCUUUCUACAGAGGGCUCCCCCGACAAUAUGCGGCACCCCAGUCUGCCAUGCAUAAUCAGCUUGGAGGUAGCCAGAGCCAGCACCAGCAGCUCCACAUGCGUCACAACCAGAACGUUAACGGGCAGUCACACCCGAGUUUCAUGGACUUCAACCAGAGGGCCUAGGAACCUCUAUUUUCUAUUUUAAGUUGUUAACCAAAGGAGUUUGAUAAUGUUGUAGUACUAAGAGGGUGGGGGUAGUUAAUCAGAUAGCUUCUUGUAUAUACUACAUACAGAUGUAUAUGUAUGUGGAACAGGCAAAGGCUGUGUAGAUUUUGUUGCUCAGAUCAGUACCACAGUACAUAGUUUCCUUUCCUGUAUCAAUUCUUACUACUAGGGUUAUAGUUAUUUAGAACAAAUCUUAAUGCAACACCUGUUGUGUAUUUUAUUUUAUCAUGCAACCUCUAGGUUCCUUCAUGCUAAUAUGACGAUGAUAUGGUAUUUCACAGUACAGAUCACAGUCUGGAUUGUCUGUUUGUGCCUGUAUUUUUUCAGUUUCCGAAUUGUUGAAUGCAGAAGAUGUUUGCCAAAUGUCAUGUCGUUGUUGCGGUGGUUGCGAAGAUGUACAAGUGGAGCAUUAGAAAAAUAACUGGGUCAUCAUCUUUAAUUAAAUGUUCUUGAUGAAUAAUAGAUAUGGAGAUUGGAGAUAUCACAUGUAAGUUAAGAGUACGCAUGAGUGCAUGACGACAUGUUUAAAUAAAGAAAUUCUUAGGUGCAACAUCCACAUCACCUGUCACAUGCGCAUCCAAUCAUCUUUUGACACGUGUUUUUACACUUAAUCAUCUUUUGACACCUUUUUUUUUUGUUUUUUUUGCACACUUGUCUUCUUGUUCUUCUUCCUCCUUUCUCCGGCGGAUCUUCUUCCUUUCUCCGGUCGGAAACUGAUCCUCUCCAAUUUUCUUUCCCUCUGCCCAGCCAUCGCCUCAAACCUGCAACCCCUGCCGCCUCCACUGUAAACUGCCUCCGCCUCCACCGUAAAGGAAGAAGAAGCUUCGUCGGAGGAAGGAAGAAGAAGCUUCGUCGGAGGAAGGAAGAAGAAGCUUUGCCGGGGAAGAGGAAGGAAGAGGACGCCUCCACCAACCCGUGUAAAGGAAGAAGAAGCUUCGCCGGAGCAGAGGAAGGAAGAGGAAGAAGAAGAACGCAGGUGGGGGGUUUAAAAACAAAAACAUGUGGGUCGCACAGGACAUGUGGUGCGUUAGCCGCACCUAAGACUCGUUUAAACAAAUUUUUCUAUGUACCCCACCCUAGUGUUUCACCAAGAUUGAUUUUAAGUCAAAAUUUCUUUCAGAGUAGUAACAAAAUCUGUUCUUGACAAAGAAGAUUAUACAACUUGUUCUCAAAAGUGUUUUUUUUUUUUUUCUUUUUUUUUAAAUUUUGUGAAGUAAUCCUACAAAUAUUUGUAAAGAGUAAAUAUCUUUUGCGUCCACACCAAGAAGACUAUUAAACUACUAUAUCUAUAUCUCAUAUACAAACCUAAAGACUCGAGGCUCUAGAGCGUUGAAAAAGACUUGGUACUGCAUGACCUUUGGUAAAGGAAGUUCCUUUUGUUGUGCGGAAGCGUCAAACAAACAUGAAGUACCGAAAUAUGAGAAAAGAUAAAUAGACAAAAAAUCUAAGGAGACCAAAGAUUUACGUGGUUCACCCUAAAACAAAGGGCUACGUCAACUGGCGGAAACGAUGAGGAGAUUCCACUAAUGUCAAAAGGAGAUUACAAGGUGUUUAACACUCAAACCCAAAAUCCAUAUCACACCCAAAAUACACUCACACAAGAGAAACACCAAAUAGAAGAACAACUUCUAUAGAACCCUAAACUGCGGCUAUUUCUCAAUAACUUAAAGUUGCGGCUCUUUUUGUCUCUCACACCUUAAUUGGUGACAUAAAACAUAUAUUUAUAGUGCAUAGACAAUACCCUAACCUAAUAGGAUCAGGUUGAUUAUAUGGGCUUACUAAAGAUAAUUGAUGGGCUUAUAUUAAUUUAAGCCACAAACCAACAAUCUCCACCUUGGUUUAAAUUAAUCAAAAAUCUCCAAAGUAGAAUCUUCUCCCAAGGUCUCCUCCAUCAAACCCUGAAGGGUACUAAUUGCAAGUAGCAAUCAAGCCCAAGCCAAGCUUGAACUUGCAAAUAGGAACUGUCUUGAUCAAAAGUAGAUGACUCUGACGAAGAGACUGAAUAUCUUCAUACAAAGUAACGUUGUAGAUCCAAAGUUGCUUCUCUUCAAUAUCACUAACAAAAACAAGCACCUCCUGACUAGGCUGAAUAAAAGCACGCACUGACACUUUCCUUAAAGCUUGAACAAGCUCCACCUGCUUACUAACACCGUGGCCUGAACCUACAUCAAUAGACUCUCCUUCAAAUAUUAUGGCGUACUCUUCAAAGUUCAUAACUUCGCCGAUUACAAAUUUGGGUGACUUAGACUAGACACACCACAAGUCAUAAAUAUUCAUCCCAUAUGCAAAUCCAUGGAAUACAAAUUUUGUUCUCCACUCAAGUUUACCAUCACUCACAUGAGCACCAAACAGACAACAAAUAUCAGAAUAAUCAGCAUGAAUACCAAACCAUACCUUAAUUGGAGUCUUGAAACAAAAUGCAGACGAUGGAGGCCAAUUAACCAAGUAGCAAGAAUUAACAAAUUCAGCACCAAAAUCCGUAGACUUAUCCAAGUUAGAAAGCAUGCAAAAUACUUUCUCUAUGAGGGAUCCACAAAUAUGUUCUGCAAUUUUUAAACAUGGUGUCUUCAAAAUAGUGCGGUGUCUCACUAUCUAAUCUUCACAGAACUGAUCAAACUGGCCCUCAGCAAAUACAACUGUACCAAUAUCUGAAUAUGGACUCGAUGAAGAGGCAACUGAUGGAGCACUAACAACUGUGCUACCCUGAAGUGCGUAGAGAUUAUGGCAAAUCAACUUUCCCUGAAUCACAACAAGAGCACCCUUACUAACUCUUAGAACUCCACUUUGAGACGAAAACUUAUAGCCUUGUGAGUCAAGAGUACCCAAAGAUAUCAAAUUAUUCUUCAUAUCUGGGACAUGUCUAACGUUUGCCAAAGUCUUGAUAUCUUAAUUCGAAUUGUUCCAAUCCUUGUAACUUUAUUAGGAAAAUCAUCUCCCAUAAAGACAAAAUUUCUAUCAACAGACUGAUAAGUAUCAAACCAAUCUUGAUUGAAGCACAUAUGAUGCGAGCAUGCCGAACCAAGCAACCAAGCAUCAACAGAAGAAUCACCAGCAAAGAAGGCAAAAUCAAAAGUAAACUCUUCAUCCACAUAAUUAGCAUCAUCACCAGAAGAAUUUUCAGAAGACUUACUUUUGUUUUUGAGUUUAGGGCAUUCAGGGGUCCAAUAACCUUCUCUGUGACAAUAGUUGCAUCUACCCUUUCUAAUCCGAGGCUUAAAUUUCGAAUUACCUUUAUUACUGCUUUCCUCUCUACCAUGAACUACCAAACCAUGUUCUUGAUUAUCAUUCAAAUUGUCUGACACCUUCUUCUUUAGUUCUCUUGAACUCAAAGCUGCUUUGACAUCUUCUAAAGAGAUAGCGUCUCUUCCAUACAACGUAGUGUCGACAAAAUUUUCAAAAGAAUGAGGUAAAGAGCAUAGUAAAAUCAAAGCCUGAUCUUCAUCAUCAAUUUUCACAUCCAUAUUUCUCAAAUAAGAUAUAAGCUUAUUAAAAUCAUCAAUAUGGUUUUCAACAAGUGUACCUUUAGACAUCCGAAGAGUGUAUAGUCGCUGCUUCAAAUAUAAUCGACUAGUGAGGGAUUUGGUCAUAUAUAAUUUCUCCAGCUUUAGCCACAAACCAGGUGCAGUCGUCUCAUCGGCAACUUCACGUAGAACCUCAUCAGAAAGACAUAACAAAAAUGCACUAUGUGCUCGUUCUAACAUGUCUUCUUUUUCUUCAUCUGACAAAAUAGUUGGCAAAGGACUUGCACCUUUUAGCGCCUUCAAUAACCCUUGCUGAACUAAUAGGGCUCGCAUCUUCAAACGCCAAAGGUUGAAAUCAUUUCUCCAGUUAAAUUUAUCGAUCUCAUAUUUCGCCGAAUCAGUAGACUUCAUAAUUGAAUCUAGAAUCUGAAAAUAACCCCAGACGUGAGCUCAUGUUUGGAUUGGGAUCAUAAGAUUUGAAAUUUGAUGUUUGUGAUCACGGUUGAACUAUUGGGACUUGGAUCGUGAGAUUUGGAGAUAGCUCGAAUCACGCCAGGUGGAGAUUGUUGGAAACGUGUGGCUUAGAUUAGAGCAUUUUGAAAUCUCACAUCAGAAACGUGAAGAGUUAUCCUUGGGUUAUAGAGAAUGGUACCACACACACUAAUGUCGAGGAUUUUUGUGUAAAACUCCAUACCUAUUUUUUCGCAUCCGAGUGGCUAAACUGGGGACAAUAUCUGUAUUUCUGGACCCAUGUGUGUGGGACCCUCGGGGCCCAUCAGCCGCUUCCGCAUAACAUCCGCAUAACAAGUGUUAUCAGAGCCCAGGUGACGCUUGGGACUUGGUGUCUCGUACGAUUGAGUUUCAAUUUGGUGGAGCUCCCGUUUGGAUUGAGAUCAUAAGAUUUGAAAUUUGAUGCUUGUGAUCACGGUUGAGCUAUUGGGACUUGGAUUGUGAGAUUUGGAGAUGGCUUGAAUCACGCCAGGUGAAUAUUGUUGGAAACGUGUGGCUUAGAUUAGAGCCAUUUGGAAUCCCACAUCAGAAACGUGAAGAGUUAUCCUUCGGUUAUAAGGAAUGGUACCACACACACUAAUGUCGAGGUUUUUUGUGUAAAACCCCAUACCUGUUUCGCAUCCGGGUGGCUAAACUGGAGACAAUAUCGGCAUUUCUAGACCCGUAUGUGUGGGACCCUCGGGGCCCGUCAGCCGCUUCCGCAUAACACCUUUCUGAGUUCAAAAGAGUUUAUAACGUGUUAAUAUAAUAAAACUGCUUCCAACAUGCCUUUAACUUGAGCAAAUAGAACCGGAAAUGUUAAGCCAUCUCUUGAGCCGGAUUGAAGGUUGACGAAGAAGAGAUGAUGUGAUGACUGAAUGACGAGGAACUCUGGCCAUACUGUGCUUCUUCUUCAUGAGCUUAGUGUUUAUAGUUCUGCGCGCUAUAUCAAGAAGGCCAGACCUUCGAGAAGCAAAGCCGAAACCACCUUAUUAGAGUUUUUGCUUGUGUGCAACAUUCAUUUAUAACUUUACCGGACGAAUUAAACUAACAUCAAACGAACUGAAUAGAGCUAGUGUCAACUUUAUAAGGAUCAAAUAUAAGAGUGACCAAACAUAAUUUACCUUCGUAUUAGCUAAUCACUGCACAGCUGCAAGUUAUUGGUGUUCCAUUAUCAAGCUGAUUUGCCUUUCUUUUUUGCAAUCAUAUUCAAAAACUCUAUUUUAAAGUUCUCACGUUGUGGCACAUAGGCUUAGUUUUGGAUCUGAUGGAUUAGCAAUAGAAGUGUUUGCUAAAGCAAAUACUAAAGUUGACUCCACCACACCACUAACCACACGUUUUCUCAUUUUCAAGAGCAUCUUACAGCAAAUGCUUUUCUUUUUUCCUCUGGAAGCUAGCUUAGCCGAUAUUCUGAUAAUGAUAUACCAAGACUAGACCUGUCGAGGAGUGAACUCCACAGAAUGUAAGAUUCAUGAACCAUUUUUUCUGCUCAGAUUAGGUGUCAUAUAAAUUCUACUUCGAAUUCUAUGACAUUAUUAUUUAUUUAGUACAAGUAGGGAUAUUUUUAGUAAGUUGAACUAGUAUUAAUAUUCUUAAGCCCAUGCAGAAAUGCGGUGAUGAAUUAGUUGAAGAUAGAGACUCCCUUAAACCUCUGAUUUUGUGUUUUUUCUUUUUUUCUUCCUUUCUUCCUGAUCAAAGUGUGCCAACUCCCUUUGCUGGUGUAAGGAAGUAGUCGUACCUCUUGUCCAGUUUAUAUAAAUACUAUGUGUAUAUAUGACUAUAGUAAGUAGCACCACUCUGAAUUCGAAGCUUGCUUUAUUUGAGGCUGUGAUAAUCUUUCUCAUCGUAUGGCUUGCAAUAUGAAUAGAGGUGUUACUGCUUCUUCUUCUUCUUCUUUUACUCCGAUUAGGUGGAGUUAUGAUGUGUUCUUGAGUUUUAGAGGUGAAGAUACACGCAAUAAUUUUACUGGCCAUUUGUAUACUGCUUUGUGCCAGAGGGGUCUUCACACCUUCAUAGAUGAUCAUGAUCUUAGAAAAGGAGAAGAGAUUGGACCAACACUUGUCAAGGCAGUUCAGGAGUCGAGGGUUUCUGUUAUUGUAUUCUCUGAAAACUAUGCAUCCUCCAAAUGGUGCUUGGAUGAACUCCUCAUCAUCCUUGAUUGUAAAGAAUCAAAGGGUCAACUUGUUUGGCCCAUUUUUUAUAAGGUGAAUCCUUCGGAUGUACGAAAUCAGAGAGGCAGCUUUGCUGUGGCAAUGCGUGAGCAUGAAGUGCAGUUCAACUUCGACAUGGACCGGGUGCAGAGUUGGAGGACAGCCCUUACUCACGCAGCUAGUCUGUCUGGUUGGCAUUUUCCAGACGGGUAAGUAUGAUCAUUUGAUCCAUUUCUAUCACCUAUAUAAAUAUACAAGGCAUGCAUUAAGACCCUCAGACAGGGAUUGCAUUUGAUACGAACCAGAAGCAGUUGCAUUAUCGUGAAUUCCUUUUCAAUCAGGCAAUUUUUGACCUCUUAAUUACUUCAGAUUUUUGAUAAACUAAAAACGUACUGGUUGUAACAUGCAUGCUUGAUGAACAACAAAUGAUUCUUAAAUUUUUUUGUCACUUGAUAUUUCCUUAUCAAGCAAAGCAAAAAGGGAAGGGUUCAAACCAAAAUUCUGUUUAGGCCAAUUAUUUUUAGCUGCCUCAUCAUUUGAAAGUAUAUAUAAACAGGAGAAUUGGUUUAUAGUUGAUUAAUAAUGAAGAACAUGUACUAUUCAGUUAUAUAUAUGCUUGUAUAAAUCAACUGGCUCCAUAGCUUACUAGCUUAAACAUACUAUGAUAGAAAGAGAAGUCAACUAUGGCAUUACACUUGCAGGUCCCCUAUAGUUUUGUUAUGAUCUGUUGAAUGUUAUUGUUUUAUUUUAUUUUAUCUCUCUGGUCAAUAAAAAUCACUUUGGCUUUUAGCUUCCCUAAUGAGCAUAUAUGUUCAACUUUUGAGUACUAAAAUCGUCUUCUUGAAUAAAUUAAAGCAAAAUUAAGCUACGAUGGAUUGAUUGACUGUAAACCUGUACUCAACUAUGUGUGCUCUAGUCCUAGUGUUUGAAAGUUUGAGAUGAUUAAAACUAUGCAAGUUAAAAUCUAAAUAUCUCCUCCUUGUGAACCAUGACCAAUUGUAUGAAUCUAAUUCUAUUUUAACAUUUUCUCUUCAAAUAUACCUGCUAAUAUUUGUCUCAACGCCAAUUCAUAUAAUUUUGAUCUCCAAUAUUGAUGGCAGGCAUGAAUCCAAGUUUAUCCAAAAUAUUGUUGAAGAGAUCUCAAUUCAAGUAUCAAAUCGGACAUACUUGAAAGUUGCGAAGUAUCCUGUAGGACUGGAAUCUCGUGUCCGGGAUGUGCAUGAGCUUCUAUGUGUUGAGGAAAAUGAUGUUCGCAUGGUGGGAAUAUGGGGGAUUGGAGGCAUUGGUAAGACAACAGUUGCCAAAUCUGUUUAUGGGUCAAUUGCUCAUCGAUUUGAAGGUAGCUGUUUUCUGGCAAAUGUGAGAGAAAGAUCAUCAGUGCCACAUGAAGGCUUAGUUCAACUGCAAGAAACUCUUCUUUCCAAGAUUUUAGGGGGUGUAGGAGUAAAGCUAAACAAUAUCGAUGAUCCUGCUUUUGAGAUAGAGAAAAGGCUAUGGAAUAAGAGGGUUCUAAUUGUUCUAGAUGAUGUGGAUCAUCUAAAGCAAUUAGAAAACUUAGCUGGAGGAUAUAGUUGGUUUGGUCCGGGCAGUUGAGUUAUCAUAACUACACGAGAUAAGCAUCUGUUAAUUGCUCAUGGAGUUAGUUUAACAUACAAGGUCAAGGCAUUAGAUUUUCCAGAAGCUUUUGAGCUCUUCAGUUGGAAUUCCUUCAAAAGAGACAGACCUAAGGAUGAUUAUUUGCAACUCGUCGAGCGUGCUGUGUAUUAUACCAAAGGCCUUCCAUUAGCUCUAUCGGUUUUGGGUUCUCAUCUUUUUGGUAGAAGCAUAGAAGAGUGGCAAGAUGCAUUGGAUAGUUAUGAAAGAAUUCCUAACAAAGAAGUCCAAGAAAUUCUUAAAAUAAGUUUCAAUGGAUUAGAAGAUCAUCAGAAGGAAGUUUUCCUCGACAUUGCAUGCUUUUUCAAAGGACAAGAUAAAGAUUUUACUGUCGAUAUCCUAAGAAGCUGUGAUUUGUACCCAAUUUAUAGCAUUGCAGUACUCAUAGAUAAGAGUCUCUUAAUGAUUGGUGAUGACAGUAAUGCGCUAUCUUAUGCAUGACUUGAUCGAAGACAUGGGCAAGGAAAUAGUGCGUCAAGAAUCGCCUACAGAAGCGGGUGAACGCAGUAGAUUGUGGUUUCAUGAGGAUGUUUUACAAGUUCUAACUGAAGAAACAGUAAGUAAACUACAUCUUGCUUGUUUUUGAUUGUGUAAAUUAUAUCAUUGUUAACGCACGAAGUUUGCUAUUCACCUGGCUUCUUUGUCCUUUUGGACAGUACAUUCUGUUUUUCUAGUCAUUAAUUUAAGUAUGCUUGUUACAAUAGCAGAAUGUUUUACUUAAUGAUUAUUUUUUCCUGAUAGGGAACAAGUAAAGUUCGAGGCAUAAUGAUAGAAAUGCCCAAGAAAGAAGAUAUCCAUGUGGCUCCUAAAGCCUUGUUAAAAAUGAGGAAUCUCAGAUACUUGAUAAAUCGAAAUGCAAGUCUUGUUGGGAACGUUGGUUAUCUGCCCAACUCGUUAAGGUUCCUUGAUUGGUACAAAUAUCCUCUUGAAUCCCUACCACCUGAAUUUAAUCCAAAGAAACUUGUUGCACUCCAGAUGCCAUCAAGCAGCAUAUCACGUUUUGGACAGUCAACCAUGGUAUGUACUUUUGAUUUGCUUAGUUUUAAGAGCUUCAUGCUCUAACAAAAUAAUUUUUGUUUAAUUAAAUGAGGCUCAAGUGUCAUCUGAUCAAUCCUUGUACAAUUACGUUUUGUUGUACAGAAACUUGAUUGGUUGAAAUCUUUGGACUUCAGUAGAUGUGAAAGACUAAAAGAAAUCCCGGACUUCUCUGGAUUUCCAAAUUUGAAGAAAUUGCUUCUUGUAGAAUGUAGGAGUUUAGUAGAGAUUCAUGAUUCUGUUGGAUUCCUUGAUAAGCUUGUGAGUUUCUCUGUGCAAGAUUGCUCUAAUCUUACAAGGUUUCCGACAAAACUUGGAAUGAAGUCACUGAAAGUUCUUAAUAUGAAAGGUUGCAAAUUACUGGAAUGCUUUCCUGAAAUUGAGGCUGGAACCAUGGAACACUUACGGGAGAUAAAUCUAGAGAGUUGUGAAAACCUUAAAGCUCUUCCAAGCAGCAUCUAUAAGUUGAAAUAUCUGCAGCAACUUGUAGUCAGAGGCGCUCCAAAACUUCUUGCAUUUCCAAUGUCAACGACAACAUCCACCACUAAGCAGUGUUUGUCUGAUGACAAUAAUGAUGAAGACUGCUCCUUAACAGUGUUUCCUCAGAUGACAUUUUUGCGAGUUGGAGACUGCAACAUAUCGCACUGUGAUUUCUUGAUGCCAUUUGGUUUCUUGUCCACUCUGACCUAUCUUGAUCUAUCCGGAGGUAGUUUUGUUAGCCUUCCAAGAUGGAUCAUCAAGUUUGUUAACUUGCAGUGGUUCAUAUUACGUGAUUGCAAGAGGCUGAAAGAAAUUCCACAGCUUUCUCCAAGCAUAAAAGGAAUACAUGCAGGCAGAUGCAAAUCAUUGGAAAGGAUUUCAAACUUUUCUGAUAUUUUGGAACACCAAAACUCAUCGGGUUGGCUUCAGUGGAGCGACUUGUCUGAAUGCUAUAAACUACUCCAUACUAUGGACUUAGAUGUGGAAACGAUGGCAUCUAUAUUACUUAAUCAACAUGAUGAUCAGGUAUCUCUCACUUCUGAUAUCUAGAUCUUGCUCUUUCUUUACUAUAUUGUUUAUGUAAAUGUUUUAUUUAUUCGUGGCCAUGGUAAGUAGAUCUUUUAAUUUCUGAUUUUCAACUAAUACUUUGUCACUGUUCAAGUCUUGAAAUAGAGAAGAGUUUCUAUAUAGACCUUCCCUAAUAUAAAUGCGCAUGGCAGUUGCUUGAUGGAAGUAACUGUCAUAAACAAACUGCUAUAUGUACUAGAUUUUGGUCCCUGCUUAUACACGCAUUAUUCUUACAACAGUCCUAUCAACAGAAGAGAAUACUAAAGGCGUGUCAUAAAGAGAAGACACAAAAUGACCGACUCAAAUGGUCCAGCCUCCCUUCUCCACCCUUAACCCUUAAUUGUAAGAGAGCUUUGGUUUCCAAGAGUGAUGCAUUCGACUCAUAUAAUCCCCAAUUCACAACUCCUGUGAUGGGAAUCAGGAGUAAGCUAGAUUUGCUUUAAUAAGAACAUUACAUAACAAAUAAGUAGGGCUGGGCACACAAAACCGAAAUCCCGAUCCUGUCCCGAUCCCGUCCCAAAAUUUGACGGGAUGAGACGAGAUUUAGAUGUAAAAACACUAGGCUCGUCCCGUCCCGUCCCGUUGGAGAAACAAGGGACGGGCCGUGGGACUAAAAACUUAAGGCCCGUAAGGCCCGUCCCGUCCCAUAGGUGUUAUUUUAGUAUUUAUAUGCUUGUUUUUCCCUUCAUAUUAUGUGUUCUAUUUCUAUUACUGAUGCAAACUGUUUCAUGAAUGUUUCAUUUUGUUCUCAGUAAAACAAACCAGUAGUGGAUGACAUAUACUAAUAAGAAAGUUUAAGUCAUCUUCUAAUUCAUCAUCAGCUAGCCAUAAGCUAUGGUUCAAUGAAUUAAAUCUCUCAUGUCUUUUCAAUUACUUGUAUCCGAAUCAAAUUUCAACACCAGUACAACUAAUGGUACUUCUUGCUUUGUUUAUAAAAAAGUUGGUCCUGGAUUCAUUCUUUUAAGUUUCUGAGCUUUUUGGGGGUGUGAUACCUGAUCACAUGCAUGUAGUGGGAUUUUGAUUAUCAGUUGUUUGUUUCCUUUUCUUAAUUUUUAAUUAUAAGUGUUUAAUUUCCAUUGACCUCAAUAUGCAGGAGUUUGUGUUGUUAGUUUCAAGUUGUUUUUCAUUCACCUGAAUAUGCAAGCUAGGAGUUUUUGUUGUUGGGAUUAUUGCGUAUGUCAUGAACAAGAACAAAGAAACAAAAGUUAGCUUUCUGUUUAUGCAGGGAGGGGUUCUUCUUUAGCAGAUCAUGACUAUAUGUUUCAUUACUGAUGCCUGUUUCAUGAAUGUUCUUCUAUAUGUAGUGUUCUUCUUUAGCAGAUCAUAUUUCUAUUGCUGGCGGCUUUCUGUUUUGGAAUUGGGUUGGGAUGGCUGGGACUAGGCCCGUCCCGUCUCGAUCCCGUCCGGGACGGGACUUAGUCGGGAUCAAAUCUCAAAAUGCAAGGCCCGUCCCGAUCCCGUCCCAUGUGCAAUGUUCGGAACGGGCUGCGGGAUUAGCCCAAUCUCGUCCCAUCCCGUCCCAUGCCCGGCCCUACAAAUAAGGCUUUUAGGACCAUUUUCGUUUUAUAUUUAACAGAUUCUUGCUGUGAAGUAUUAAGAAUACUUUCUGGUAACUUGGAAUAAAGGGAGGUACUAAUAAGCUUAUAAGCAUGCAAGCCCGCUUAUAAACUUAAGUUAAUUAAUAAUAUCCAAUAUUCAUGCAUGCAUUAAUUUGUUUUGUUAUUUAUAUGCAGGGGAAGGAUUCCUACUUCGAGUUUAGUGUUGUACUUCCAGGAAAUAAUAUUCCAAAGUGGUUCAGCUUUUGUAAACAUCCAACUGAUCAUGAGUAUUGCGAGUUUGUUAUCAAAUUUCCUCCAAAUUUCAGUGGAAAAAAAUUCGAGAUUGGCUUUGUCGGCUGUGUUUGAGAGCACAGAUGAACCUCUGACCUAUGAUUAUGAUGAUUUUGAAAGAUACGCAUUUCAUCUCCGAGUGUACAUUAAUGGUGAUGAAAUAUUUUGGGUUCAUGAGCAUAUUCUUAUUAGUCCAGGGUCAAAUCAUGUGUGGCUGCAGUAUAUUUCGUUAUCUGAUAUGAGACAUUGGGGGAGGCAGUGGAAUGAAGAGCAAAUUCUGAGCAAGUGUGAAGUGAGAUUUCUCCCUUCUCAACCACUUUCCUUAAAAACUUGUGGUGUCCAACUAGUAUGCCACCAGGAGUAUGACAACAAUGAUCAGAACUUGGCAGAUCUUCAAUUUUACAAGAGAAAUUACGAUGACUUGGAUCAUGAAGUUGUUCAACUUCCGACCGAAAUCACAUUUUAAUUGGUACCCUCAACAAAGAUUGCGCCUUGGAGCCUUAGGCAUUACACUAGUUGGGAUUGAUCAGGAGGAAGAUAAAAAGAUCAUUGGUGAGUAUUUCCGUAAGUGGAUCUUCAAGAAAGUACUAACUCGAUUGAUUAGUACUCCUGCCAGGAUACUAAAUUUAUUUUAUGUUUUAGUAUGUCUUAUUUUGAUUAUCUACUUGUUUGCCAACAAGUAAUCUCCACUUUGGAAAUUGAUUGGGAUCAUGUUUGCUUCAAUUCAACCGUUUUGGUAGCUUUAUGAUUUGAAAUAUGUAAACAUGGAUUUGGCAUUUGCAGGAUACAUGCGUCACCACAAUGUAACUGACAAUGUAACUCUAGGGCCUCGUUUGGUUGAUGGUAAGGAACUGGUUCUUUGGUUUUUCCUAUGUACGGGAAAGUAAAUUUCUCACUGGUUCCCUUAAAAGUGUUUGAGAAUGUCGGGAAAGUAACUAAGAAAUGUAUUUUACUUUCAUUUCUAAUGUUUGGUUUAUGCAUGAUUAGGAAAAAAACUAACAUUAGUUUACCAAUUAUAUCCUUAGUAUUAAAAUAUAAAAUAUUUUAGAUUCAAAAGUUUUGUGGAUAAUUUGGUAAUAACAUCUCUUAAAGGGCAUGAUUCGUGGCAUACAAGAUUACAAUCAAAAUUAUAACCAGAAUAUCAUCCAUUAAAUCUAAUAACAACUAACGGUUGAGAUUAGUCAUGAAAUUUUUUUUUUUUUCUUAAUCAAUUUAUGAAAUCUAUCUGUUAAAAACAUAAAAAAAACAAAAAAAACAAAAACAAAAAAAACAAAAAUUGAUGAUUACCUACUCUUAUUUUCAAAUACAUACAAAUUAAGAGGAAGUUAAUGGUUUCCUAUUGAAACUCAAUUACUAGAUAAAAAAAAUAAAAAAAUAAAUAUUAGAUGAAACUCAUUUACUAUAGAAUACCAUCAUCAUCUACCCUUUUCUUCUUCAAAGAAAAAAAAAUUAUCAGAUGAUGUCUACCAUACCACGUUGGAAAAUUUAUAAUCAAAAUUAUGUAUCGAAGUCUUAGAUCAUCUUUGUGCUAUAUAUAACCAACAAGAAGCUUUUGAUAAAAUUAAAAAAAAUUAAAAAAAUUAAAAAAUUAAAAACAAGAAGCUGAAAUAAGUAUGUCUACGGGAGGAAGCCCAGAAUUGACUUGAGUGGCUCUUUCGUAAUUAUCAUCGAUCUGGGCUGCAAUAUGAAUUAAACCUUGGAGAUUUUUAGCAUAGUACGUAGGUGUCAAGCCCAGAAUUGACUUCUUUUUUUUUUGGCGAGAAGCCCAGAAUUGACUUGAGUGGCUCUUUCAUAAUUAUCACCAAUCAGGGCUACAAUACGAAUUAAACCUUGGGGAGUUCUAGCAUAGUACGUAGGUGUCAAUCUAUUUGUUGGAAAAUGUGGGAGUCUCCCACAUUGGAAAAAUAGUUUUGAUGAUUAGCCUUUAUAUGUACACACUUGACAUAUGUGUUAAUAGGCUUUUGAGUGAGAUAUAUAUAUACAUAUAUACUUAUAUACUUAUAUGGGCCUUAGGCCUUUGGGGCUCUUGGGUUCUUAUAAAUACAAAUCCGAAAACUGUUUUUUCUUUUUAUCUGGAUUUUAUUUUUCAACAGAUAUGUCUGUUGGAAGAGUUUGGUUUUGAACAAACCAUUGCAACUGUUCAGUUCUACCGAAGUAUUGCAAUUGUUCUGUUUAUAGUCUAUAAAAGACGAGCAGCCAAACAAAUCAAGAAUAAGAAAUCCUUCUCCUCUUCCCCUAAUAUUUUCUGAGAAACACAAAUACAGUUUGCCAGGAAUUUUGUUAAAAGUGCAUAAACAAAAUUCGAUAGUUGUAUCCUGCAAGAUAGACGUCCAAGAAACUACGUGCACUACAGUAGGGACGAAAUUCUGUCUUAGGAGAUUGCUGCAAGCAAGCCUCUAUCAUCAAUCAAGUUAGUAUUUUGUAUUCAAAGCAAUUUGGUUUCAGUGCUGCUGCUCCUAUUCUUAAAUAUAAAAUAAAGUUGAUCUUAUUUGUAUCACGUUUGAAGAAUCAUAUUUAUAUUACUGUAAUUGUGGUUGAUCUGUGUAUAUAAUUUCUAACACUAUUUUUUUUCUUUGUUUUUGCAGACUCAAAUGCUGACACAACCCACCCUGAAUUUCACCCUGAAACCCGGAGUAAGUCGUGCGGGGACACCUCCAAGGAAAAUUUACCGAAAAGAUUGGUAAAACCUCCCUUGAAGAUGGACAACCCUAACCCGAAAAAAUCUCCAAUUCACACACUUACUACAGCACUUCCACAAAAAUAUCACACAAUUAUCCAGCUAAAUAAAAACAAAUAUUAUUCUUCAGCAAUUCUAAACAUAAAGUCAACCGACCGAGCACACCACCGGAAUAAUAUACAAUAAUCCCAAAGUAUUCAGAGCUACUAGACACUAGCGGAAGCAAGAAAACACUAGUAGGUUAAACAGGUAACCUACUGAUGAAAACUGGCGGAAAAGCGGGUAACUAUGCCUCGUCUCCUACUAGGUCCAACCUGAACUCUGCAGACUGGACAAUUUAAAACGAAGAGCCCAGGGGAAAACAUGUGGAACAGUUAGAGUGAGUGGACAAAAAUAAAUUAAAUAAAAAUAUUUCUUUAUGCUUCCCCAAUUUAAUUUCCAAAGAAAAUUUACUGCAUGCAAUCGCUCAAAAGCGCUCAACUCAAAAACUGGCAACUUUACGACCAGCACUAGCUAGUCUCCAAAACUUAAUAAAAUACAGCCUCUCAGGCUAAAUUAUAUAUAAACAUAUAUAAGUGUAUGUAUUCACACUCGUCAGACUCCUUGUAUGAAUUCUAAGAACGAAUUAGAAAAAUAGAAAUUCAUACAAGACUACUACGCUUGAGUCUAACGCUCACGUCACACCAUAAUGGAAUUGUACCUCAGUAUGGCGGAAAAAGCACGAGUGUAUAUAUGUGUGGACUCCCUAUAUGAAAACCUAAAUAAACCAAAUAAGAAAAUAGUUUUCAUAUAGGGCUACUACGCUUGUGUCUAACACUCACGUCACACCAUAAUGGUAUUUUACCUCAUUAUGGCGGAUCAGCACGUAUGGCUAGCUAGCAUUUACAUAUACAUACUAUCAUCAUAAACAUCCAAUAAACAUAUCCACCGAAAAUCUCAUUUUCGGGAUCUCUCCAAAGGAGGAAAAUUGCCAAUUAUCCGAAAAAUCAUAAAUCUCAGGAAAAGAAUUAAAUGAUUAACAGAUAAUUCAUCGCAUGCUUUUCAAUUAAAAUAAAGGUCCACUCACAAAUUAGGCCUAAGUCUGAUGACGCUCCGAGGCUUCCUCUGCUCGGGCCUCCUCUCGUCCGGUUCCAAAUAUAUAAUUAAUUUCCCAACUAACAAUCCAAUAAUUAAUCAAAAUAGGCAAAAUUACCCGAGAGCCAUAAACACGCUCAUCAUUGCCUAACUUCGAUAUUCUUAAAUCGGAACGAUCCGAACUUAAAUAUCAUCCUCGGCAGUCGUAAAUAUAACCUCCCCAAAAAUACGACUUAAAUCUUACGGCCGGAUUCUACAUUAAUUAACCGCAAAAAAUACCAAACUUCGGAAAAUCACAAACCUAUCCAAAACUCAUCCAAAAAUUCCAUAACUCACUUCAAUAAACUCCCCUUAAUAUUCUACAUUUAAAAACAUAAAAAUCUCCCAACCGGCGGCGGCUUCGCCGGCAGCGGCGGCCGGAGGCCAAUUUCGGUGACCUCCAAAACCUAUGAAAUUUUGAUAGAAUGAUCCUCUCAUCAUGCUCUACAACUUUCCUAACUAGCACAAACACCAAAUCCAAGCCUAACUAGGGCAAUCGAACACAAACGCCUAAAAGCCCUAUAAAUUUCAACUCCACAUUUCUCCUUACCUAGCUCAAGAGAGGGAGAGUCCUUUUAGGGCAAGGCUGCUGGGUUAGAGGGCUACAAAACCGUACCAAGCUUGCCCGGAUUGGUGGCCGGAGGAGGGAGUUCCGGCGAAAAGCUUCCCGGCGUUUCCGGCGGGUUUUCUCCUCUUCCGACGGGUUAGAGGCUCGGGGGCUAGGCCGGGGAGGGAGAGGAGGAGAGUGGGGGGGUCCGAACUGGGGUGGAGCGGCGGCCGGUGGCUGGCCGGACGGCGGCNNNNNNNNNNNNNNNNNNNNCCGGACGGCGGCAGCUGGCGGCUGGACGAUCCGGCGGGGAGAGAACACGGGAGAGAGAAGGAAGGGAAAAGAGAGAAGAAGAGAAAGAGAGGAAAAAUGGGUUGGGCCUCCCAACCGGUCCAACCUUAUCAACCCAACUCAAAAAAAUAAAAACACCCCGAAAAAUAAUACCCGAAUAAAAAUUACCUUUUACUAGCUAAAAUUUACUAUUUUUACCGUCGUCGUAUUUUCCUCUUACGAAUAAUCCUCCGCACAUAAUCGUCCCCGAAACCCCUCUAGGGACCACUUAAACUAUUAACUCAAUGAUCGAGACGGUAAAAUUCUUAUUAUAAUCACGCUAGUAAACAAGGUAAAAAUAUAAGGGUCGGGAUGUGACAAAUGCACUCUAAUUUCUCUCACAUGGUGAAGAACUACAAUGAUGACUCAAUAUUUGGAUAAAUUUUUUUUCAAUAUGGAAAGUUAUCCCCACAAUAAUCCCACCAUACACCUAUAUUAGAAAGAUAAAUGGCACAUGGAUAUUAAUCAAUAGAACAAACUUAAAAUUGUUGUCUAUAAAAUAGUAGGCAUGCUUCAAGAGUCCAAAUACAUAUAAAACUUACGAGGAUGUAAUGUCGUUAGCAUAGUCAUUGUUGUAGCUGUGAAGAUCGUAGCUAAUUUCAUCCAAUAGAGUUGUACCUCAGACAAGAAAUCUUCUUUUACUUUACGUACAACUAGAUUUUCUAAGAUAAUGCUAAUAUCAUCUUCUAUUCACAAUUCUGUCCAAAAUCAUCGCUACACAUUGAAUGAGUAAUGCUAGGUGAAUUACCUUUUGGUGAACCAUUUAGAGUCCACCGUAGGUAACAGCUGAUGUGUAUAACCACAUUAUCAAGUCAUAAUUUCUGAUUUUUUUUUGCUUUGCAUCAUUACAAUUUUAUUUUUUUUGUCCUAAGAGUUUAGUAACUCUUUUUUUCUUCCAAAACUACGUUAUAUAGUUCGCGUAUUAUUCACAAACUUAUCAACUAGCUAGGUGUUAUUCUAUGUUUGUCUACUCAUAUGUUUGCUUCUAUAACUUCUAUUGGAGUCUAUUCUUCACGGAUCUUGUACUCUUUAUAGGUUGUUGUCUUUUAAUGUUGUGUUUCUUUUUAUUAUUUGCAUUAAGAAAAACUCAAAUUAAGUUGUCCUAGAAAUUGAACAAAUUUUAUAAGAAGUUUAUACAUUGGAAGAAUCCAUUUUGUUAUUAAUUAGGACACGGGAAGGGAAUAUCUGAAAAAAAAUAAAAAUCAAUUAGUUAUGUGUCAAAGCUUCAUUUAUUAAAAGAUCUAGAAUUGUCCAGUACCAUUUGGUCCAGCGACAUAGUUUCCCUUAGUAAGUGGGAGGUUGUAAGUUCGACUUACGAAGUUGUAAUACUUGAGUUGUUUACCUGAUAAAAAAAAAGACCCAGAAUUAAAUGAAGAUAUAUAACUUGAAGACGUAUAACAAAUAUUCGUUUGUUUGUAUCAACUUUUGGAGGUUGCAUCAAUUUUUGUUAGUUUAUUAGAGGAUAAAAACUAAUAAUUUGCUCACAGCAAUAUAUAUACAUUAUCAUGAUCAUAACAUUACCUUCUUCUCAAAAAUGAUCAAAACAUACAUGAUACUUGCUUUUUUUCUUUUUUCGAGCUGAUAAAUGGUUCAUAUAUGGAGUUAUAACAUCUAAUCUUAGGGAUGGAAAUUUGAGCCGAACCAAAUCGCUUGACCGACUUUUGAGCCGUACCGCCAUAAUCGGUAGCCAACGUUGUCAGUAAUCGACCUUUCGGUAUGGCUGUACUGAGUUGACACCCUAUAUACGGUACGAUAUUUAUAUGAGAAUUUAUAUAUCACGAUAUACCGUACCGCCAAUUUUAUAUUAUAUAUGUGUAUAAUCUCCUCAUCCCAAUUUUAUAUCUCCUCAUUCCAAUCUCUCUCACUAUUUCACCCUAAAUCCCAAGAAGAUGGUUGAACUACUCAUAAUGGUAGGCAAGGCGGAGGUGGUAGGGCGCUACUAGGCAGUAGGCAAGGUCUUACUAAUUUAUGAAACUCUGAAUCUGAUUGUUCUUGUUUUCAAUUUGAUUUGUUUACUCUGUUUGUGAUUUGUUUUAGUGUGAAAUUGGUUGAUUAUUCUUGUUUUUUUUUUUAUAUUUGUUCAUAGUGGAUACGACAUUGUCACAAAUUCAGUAGUCAGACAAGUAGCUCAUCCCCAUCCAUCCAAUCGACUGCAAAUGCAUAAGCAAUUGCAAGCUUACAUGCAUCCCCAUUAGGACCUCCUCCUGAACCUCAACUGUCUCCACCUCCCCCUGAACCUACACUACCUCAACCACAAACACAAAGCUCACAACCUCAAUCCUCUAUUUGGCAAAAAAGGAAAGAACCUUCACUAGCUGUAAGCUCCCAAACUCAGACAUAAUUGAUCCGAAAUGGUGCACCUGCAACUUUUGUGGUGACAAAGUGAUGUGUGCAAUUAAGAGGAAUGAGACAAACUCAAUGUGGUCUCUGUAACGCCCCAAACUGCACCUCCUCAAUUUAGGCACAUCACAGUGCCGCGAGUCUCAAAAAGAGAAACGUAAGACACUUAAUAUAAGAAAACAUUUAAGAAAAACACAACAAAAACGUAAAAAUAUUUUGAGAUGUAAAUCUUUAUUUUUCUCAAUUUACUUUCAUUCGCCCAAAACCUUGUACAAUGGAUGACUAAAAAUAAUGAACUCAAAGGAAUACAAUUUCCCAAUAAGAGUAUCAUAAAGCAAACUCAUAAUAAGAUUAGACUCUUUCAUUCGCGUAAAACUUGAUAUAGGAAUGGCCAAUGAUUACCAAAGUUCGAGGAAUAGAAUCACGAGUAAUAUUAUUACAAGGCCAACAAGAUAGAAUUUGGAACAUGGAUCUCAAGUAUAAAAAUAAAGGGGAUAGCAUGGAAACCAAGUUACCAAUCAUAAAUAUGCACACCCAACUCCUCGCCACUAUCCGUUCCAGUGCACAAUACUUGCAACCAAACUGUUGUAGGGGUGAGCUUUUGUCGUCGCUGCUCAAAGGAACUUUACCCUUAAAUAGGUUUGAAAACUAAUAAAUAAUGUGGGUUGCCCAGUUUGAAAACAUGCACAAAAUCAAUUUUAUAAAGAACGACAAACUUUAGAAAAAUAUUUUUAAUAUCAAAUAAAUGUGGCGCCAUAAACUGUACUUGAUGACCGGUCCUCUUCUAGACCCACUAUCUAACUUACCUCACUACAUAAGUGUACAACACAGGUAAGUGUAGCGAGAGUGUCCACUUACGCUGUAUCGCCUAGAAGUAGUGUCACACCUCAAAGAAUGUUAGACACUCUUCAAUUCAUACAGCCCAUUCGAAGGUUUAGGGUAUCGAAGCCCAAGGAAGUCACUAUGCCCCACUCACUCUCAAGCCAUUAAUAACUCAUAAAAUGGUUACCAUUUUUAUGAUAACCAAUCAUGCAAUCUCAUAUAUGCAUUAACAGUUUAUAAAACAAAUAUUACUAAUCAAAGGAGUUCCGGGUCCCCUACCUAGAAUCCGAGACUUUCCUCACGAACUCUGAGAAUCAAGCCGUUAAUAUAAAAUAAUAUUCAAUACCACUCUACAUGCAAACUUUCAAGUCAAAUCUUAAUGUAGAACUUAUUGUCCAUCAAUCAUUUCAAGCAAAACUCACCACAACAUCCCGCUCACAAUUAAAAUGCAUACUUCAUCACAGAUUCACCAACUUGUUUAGUCCACUACUACCACGCUUAUGAUUAAACCAAAAUAACUUGGUAAACUAUCAAUUAAAAGUCAAAAUCUUGAUCCAACCAUUCAUUUGAAAGUCCUCAUUUGGUCCUUAUUAUAAGGUCUUCAUUGGAAGCUCUCCCAAACUACAUAUAUCGAGAAAUGUCAAUUUGAACGCAUAUACAACUAUCACAAUACCACCAUAAUCAUCAACUAUUUAAUUGAUAAUCCAAACUGACAACACACACUCAGCCGUACCCAUGUUUUCAGAUAUAGUUCAACUGACCUUGAAAUAAAUUAGAUUAAGACAGAACCCAUCUUACACAAAUCCUCAUUUAUAAUUAACUCACUGCAUAAUUAUAUACAUUAUAACUUCAGUAUCUUAUCAUGUCAAACAAUCAUGCUUUGGCCAACACAGUUGAGCUUAAUCAUGGCACAAACAGCUCAAUCCUUACAAGUAACCAACAACCAUAAUUCAAAUUCCAUAAAAUCCAAAUUACCUUUGGAUUCACGUAUAUCAACUUGUUUGACAGAGGACCUGCGCAGCUACUUCGUGUGAAGGUCGAACAGAGCACCAACUAAUUUCUGAAUACACCAACUCCACCAAUUCAACAACCUGAGUUCUUCUAGAUAUCCAUUCGUAUUCAAACCCAGGAGUUCAAGAACAGUUGCCGGAAACAGAAACUUCCGACGAUUCCGAAAAGGGAAUAAUGACUAUUUGCACAAAAAUCAUUAAAUUAUGGUCAAGUCCAAUGAAAAUCUGUUUCAUGAGCCCAUUCCAAUGAAAUUAGUUAAAAAGACAUUCAUACCCUCAAUUUUAUAUCUCUAUCUCUCUCCUCCCUCGAUCUCUGAAAGCUCUCUCUCUCUCUCNNNNNNNNNNNNNNNNNNNNACGACGACUCUCUCUCUCUCUCUCUCUCUCUCUCUCUCUCUCUCUCUCUCUCUCUUCUCCGGCCGAGUCGACUCAACGAGUCACAAUGUUCUUCCUCCGAAUCCACUCAGUGGACACCAACCACCCUAUCAGCCUCGAAGACGCCGAGUUCACCACCAUCUCUGCCGCCGCUGCGCAAUCAAACUCUAGGUUCAACGAGCGGCGAGGAAUCGCGCAUCUGUUCCGAAGAAGAAGAGGAAGCUCGUUGUUGCUGCUGACCCACGGCGCCAAGUCCUCUCUCCUCUUCGUUGUCGCCCUCCCGAACUACUUGUCGUUCAACGACUUUAUCCACUUCUGUGAGCCCCGUCUCGACCAUGUCGCCUAACUCGUCUUCAUCAGGUAGCGUUUUCUUUGUUUCAAUGAGAGAAUCUGAACCUUUUAGAGUUUUGGAAUUGAAAUUAAGCUCGAUGAAUGUGUUUUUGUUUGAAAUUAGGGUUUUAUUGAUAUAUGUGGUUGUGUUUUCUUCACAAUGGAGUUGAUAGACUAACUUAGUGUGUGUUCAAUUGGAUUAGGAACGAAACGAUGCGAUGGAAGAUCGAUACAGUGUUCAGGAUACAAAGGACUAUGAGGCCAACACGUUGUUAGGCACUAUGAGGAUACAAAGCACUGCCAUUCUUCAAUAGAUCAAUAAUUGAUUACGAGGGGUCGGUAACUGAUUAUUAAGGAUUACUGGGGUCAGUAACUCGAUUACAAAUGAUCAAUAACAAAUUAUUGGGGCCGGUAAUUGAUUACUAGAGGUUAGUAACUGAUUAUUAGGGGUCAGUAACUGAUUAUUGAGGGUCAGUAAUCAAGAUAUUGGGGGUCAGUAACCGAUUAUUAGGGGUCAGUAACUGAUUAUUGGGGGUCAGUAACCGAGUUACCGGUGACUGAAAUCCGGCGACCGAAGAAAUUCCGGCAACUGGUGACUGAUGACCAGAGUCCGGCAACCGGUGAGGUUCUGGCAAAGUCUCACUCUUUCAUUUUCUCUCUCCUUAUAUAUAUUGAAGUGGUGAGGGUAAAAUUGUCUUAAAAAUAUAUAAAAAUUAUUAUUUUAUUAUGACUUUAAUAUAGAUUUGUGUAUUUGGGCACAAAUAAAAAACCUUAUAUUGGAAUGGGCUAAUGUCUAUUAAAUUUAUUGAAAUGGGCAAUACAGGGUUUAAAUUAGUAUUAAAUGGGCAUUUUCCUUUAUAAGUAACUUUAAUUUGUUGAUUAACGGCUGAGAUGAAGCCAUGGAAUUUGUACGGCUAAGAUUGCACUUAAUCAAAUUCCUUUUCAUUUUGGUUAAUUUCUGCAGUUUUCUAGAGAACCAUAAAAAUUAGCUCGGAUAACAGUCAAAUCUCUGAAAAUAUCCACGAACUCGUCUUAUCGUGUACUUUAUUAUCCAAGUCUUAGACAUGACCUAUUAAAAAUUUCUGAAAAUCUCCAAGAACACAUUUUUAAUACCUUCAAGGUCAAAGCUAUUUACCGAACGACUUCAAAUUAAGCUGGUCAAAUAUUCUGGGUGUUACAGUCUCACACUAGGAAACAUGAGUUGCACCCUUUAUAUCCCGAACUGAUCCCAAACAAUCCAAGAUCUCUUCGGAUUAUGUCACCGAAGCUAGAACCUAUCAUAAGUAUAACUGAAAGAGGUGUGAUGAAAGGUACAUAGAGAUGAUUAUUAAGAAUGAUUAUCCUUUAGGUUUGUGGAGAAGGAAGGUUUGAAGGCAUUAUGUAAGGAAUUAGAACUAGAUUGGCUGAUAAUGAAUAGAAAGCAGGUUGUCAAAGGUGUGCUAGAGAAGUUUAACCAUGAGAAAGCGCUUCUGUUAAGUGGUUUGAAGGCAGCAGACACAAGGAUAUUGAUCACCACCAACACUUGAACAUCGAUACAGAACAUCAACUAAAUGGUUCUUACAGCUCAUUUUAUGGACAAUGACCGGAAAUUGCACAAAAUUAAGAACCAUAAACUUUUGUCCAAUUAUCAGUCAUAAAGGAGCGGAGAUUGGUAGAGCUGUAGCAGGGCAACAAAUUUUCCCCAUGGGGUGCAGGGGUGGGUGCGAGAUUUCCCCAUUCCCUAGUCAGGCCCAGUUUGGUUUUUUUAAUCUUUUUAACUUCUAGUUUUUUUUUAGAAGAUUAACUUCUGGUUUCUCAUUUCUUUCGUCUUUAAGAACAUAAUCUCUUCUUAAGAAUCCCAUCAAGAACAUGAUCUCGUAUUUUCCGUCUGAAGGAGGUUUCUGAGGAGAAUCCCAAGUCCGAGAAACUCUCGGAUCAUCUGAACUUGGCUACGGAAUGGUAGGAGGCCGAGAGCGAUGCUUUGACCAAGCAGAAAGUGGAGGCGUUGGAGGAGCUGAAGCGCGUGGCGAAGGACUUGCAGGUCAAAAACGAUGUCGUGGAGAAGAGGAAAACGGCGGCGAGCAAUAUCAGACUGCUAGCCAAGGAAGAUUCCGAAUCGGAACCAAAUCGAUAUAAGGCUUAUAGUGUUGAGUUGUUAGUUGCUUGGUUAGUGUGGUACUAGAGGAGGUUUUUGAGGAGGUGAGGAGGGAGAGAGGCUUUGGAGAUGUGGGAAUCGAGGAGGAGAGGAAGAGCUCCGACGAGAUUUGAAGGAGCAUUACAGUGUUGGUGAACGGGGCGGGGGCAAGGGCGAGGAACCCAUUUCCCGCGAGGUGAAUCCUCCGUUUAGGAAUUUCCCCAUAUGGGGAACGGGGGCACCGGAAAAAGCAGACGUGGGGGCGGGGGGCGAGAGGUGUGGGUAUGGGUGUUGUGGAAUUCCCCAUAUGCCCAUCCUUAGCAAUGGGAAAUCACAAAAGUCUUUACCAUCACUGUCGAUAAUGCAUCUGCUAAUGAUGUGGCUGUGCAAUACAUGAAGAGAAGGUUGAGGGGUUACAAGACUUUGAUGUUUGAUGCGGAGUAUUUACAUUUACGAUGUGCUUGCCAUAUUAUUAACUUAGUAGUCAAUGAUGGUUUGAAGGAGUUAGAAAAUGGGAUUGCUACGAUAAGAAACAAUGCAAAGUAUGUGACGAGUUCAUCUGUGAGGCUGGAUAAGAUUAGGAAGUUUGCUAUUUUGGAACUGUGCAGGGCAAAUGCCAAUGUUCCAUUAGAUGUGAUAACAAGAUGGAACAACACUUUUCUUAUGCUGCGGUACCCAGAUGCGGUUGAAGUUAGCUACCUCCGGGCUUGAACCUUGAACCCACUAUGCAACACCUAGAUGCUCUUGACGUGAGCUUGAAGAUCCAUGAGAUUGACUUUCUUGAAUGUCAGCAGUUUGGCUAGGAGGUAGAAUCUUGCGCUAGGUCGAAUGUCUUCAUCAUGGUCAAGAUGCGAGAUAUCAAUGACAUCUCUGACAUCUCCAUUGGCUAGGGCAAACGAUGCAGCAAAACUUGCAGUAACAUCUUCAAUAGUGGACGACAUAGUGAAAUAGAGAGGCAACUUCUUCAAUAAUGGAGAAGGGAGGCACUCGAAUGGAGUGGGAUGGCUAGAUCGAGGAUUUUUAUAUCAACGUCGCAAGGCGACGUUUAGCAGCGGCUAGGGUUUCUAGCUGCACUAUAUCUCAAGUGGAACCAGUUUGACCUUAUUAAAAUAUACAAUAUAAAGUAAAAUAUAAGCAGAAAAAACAAGUAGCACAUAAGUCAUCAAGAAAGUCUUGACAAAUCUUGAUGUAUUCAACUAAGAUUUUAAAAUAUCCAUCAUAAUGUCUAUCAUAAUACUGUCAGUGUGUUGUGGCUUGGUUGGUUAAGGUGUUAGGUAACAACUUUGAUGGUGUGAGUUAUUUAAUAAAAAUUUUAUUAAAAAAAAUCUGUCAUAAUACUAUAAUUGUUGUACUUUGGUGUACCUCCCUUACUUAAUACACCUCCAUUUUACUUUUUAACAUGUUUAAAACCUUAAGUAUACAUUUUUACUCUUUACCAAAAUACCCAAAAAUAAUUUGUCAUGCGUGUCCCAUAUUCUUCUCAUGAGGCAGAAAUCAAAAUUUGGUCGUUUUCCUCUUCAUUGUACCCAAUUUCUUCAUAUAUAUGCAGAAUCAAAUGCUUUUGUUAAGGUUGCAGAGUCUAUUGGGUUUAUUAACCAAGGAAUUUCGGCCUCAACAAAAAAUGAAGCUUACAGAGACAAUGAUAGAAUCUCUAUGAACGAUCAUGCUCUGGCUGAUACAAUACAAAAUUCUGGGAUCAGCAAAUUCUUUUCUGACAUCAAAGUUCGACGGGAGGUAGUUGUUAGCUUAAACCCAAAUAUCAUAUUCUACAGGUACAAGGUUGGUUAGUGAUUUGGGAGGCAUAUUGAUGGAAGUUUUGAUUUUGAAGAUGGAAAACAUAGACAUUAUACUUUGUUGAUAUAUUUGAGUGGCGAAAAAUGAUGUGGGCAGUGCUUAGGAUUCACCCUCAGAGCAUCCGGUUGGAGAAGAGAGUGUCUUUUAUGGCUCAAGGAAUAGUAUGUUGUGGUUGAGGUGACUUCUAUUGAAGGGAUGACUCUUCUUAUAUUCAUGGGCAUAAGUGUAUGAUGCAUGAAGCAGUGUUACAUACAGCUGUUAUAUGGACGAGAGACUUAUGGUAAAUUGUUUUAUUACGAAGAUGAAAAGACACAUUAAUGCAUGUCCCCAAAUUUUAUGUGUCAUUAUAAGCAUACUGGUUAAUCAAAUCCUUAAAGGAUAGAUAUUGCCAAAGGCAAAUCUAUGAAUGAUUACUAGAGCAUGAAGCUCACUCAUGAAAUCAAUUAAGUAGUCUAAGCUCGCAUGCUCAUUCUAUUAAAGUCAAACUGAGUUAUUGCCCCAAUGAGUAUUAUGCACGGCAAAACUAAGAAAUCGAAUUCGAAUUACAAUAUUGCAACAUAUUCUAACUUUCACAAGGUUAUGAAUGUGGCUAACUUUCACAAGGUUAUGAAUGUGGCUAAAGCUCCAAUUGAGCAUAUAUGAAAUUAUAAAUUGUUUAAAUUGAUAUUUAUAGUUAAAGUAUGUCAUAUUUAAAUUGAUAUUUAUACAAUGGUAAAUGUGUCAAUUGAUAUUCAUUUAUAUAUUGAUGCUUUAGCUAAUGUCUUAUUAAAGAUUUAAACAAAUGAAUCUGGUCUCUUACCAUGUGAGGUAAAAUUUAUUCAUAAAAUUAUAGUUUUGCUGGUAUUACCCUAACCUUUGCAGGAUUGAAUAUUCAUGAUGAGUCUCAUUCAUGCAAAACUCACACAGUCUCAUUUCUGUGAUCGACAUACAAUAUCUACUAUAUAAGAUACAUGUAUUCCAUCACAUACAUGAUAUUGGAGCUUGCAUCAAUCAAUCAAAGAGAGAUUCUAAUCAGGGGGAGCAUUCAAGAUUAUGCUAUAUAAGACAUAUGCGCAUUGCACUCUUUUUCUUCUUUGACCAGGGUUAUUUUUUUCCCACUGAGUUUUUGUUACCUGACAAGGUUUUUAAUGAGACAACAAUAAGCACAUCCAACACCAUAUCAUUCAUUGGUGGACAUCCAAAGGGGAUUGUUGUAAAUAUUAUAAUUAUGUGGAUGUCCAAGUAAAUACUCAUUACUUAUGUCCUUAUGAUGUAAACAUUACUGUAAACAUUACUCCUAUAAUAAGAAUGAAUGAGACACUUCUUUCUCCUCCCACAUAUUGUCUCUCUAUCAUCUCUCUCUUAUUUCCUUAGUUUAUAACAAAAAUCAGUUAUUUUCCUGAUUCUUCUUUCUUCAUCUUAUGCAGGUAUGUACUUCAUUCAAAGAUCUUAUGCAAUUGUAGUGUAAACUGACAACUAAAGUGAUUUACGAAAUUAUUGUCAGUUUUCUUCCUUUACGUUGUGUUUGGAUAAAGUAAUUUCAAUUUCUAGAGAAAUUUCAAAAUCAUAGGAAUUACAAUUUCAUAAAUUUAAAUUUCAUUAAUUUAGAAUUCCGUUGUUUGGAUUUCAUAACAUAGAGUUUUAAAAUGACAAGAAUUUGUAUUUUGACUAACCUCACUCAAGGAAACUUACAAAUGACACAUAUUUUAUGAGGAAUUCAAGUCGAAAAUUUAAGCUUUCAAAUUCCACAAUUAUUUUCUCGUGGAAAUUCCUAAUUCCACGAGAUAAGAAUCCAAACGGGAGAAACAAUCCUAAAAAAUUAGAAAUUCUCUAUUUUUGAUUAAAUUUCCAAGAAUUCACUCGCAUCCAAAAACACCGUUAGUAAAUAGUUUGUUUUUCUAAAUCACUUGAAAAAUGGUUUCACUUGCCUCAAUGGAAUGAGGAAUGAAUUUUAAUUGAUUUGUUUUUGCACGAACCAAAUCCAUUAUCUUCAAAGGGUUUACCCAAAUCCAUUAUCUUCAAAGGGUUUACCCAAAUCCAUUAUCAUCAACAUUUAUUCAAUAUAUAAUUGAUCAAAGUGUACUCAAGUGAAUGUCAUGUCACUCGUAAUCUUCUCUCAAUUUUGUCCUGUGCGUAUUGAUUUGCAGCAAUUGCAAAUAUGAUGCAAUCAAAUUAGUUUUUUUUUUUUUUUUUUCGGAGAGUGAAUAGAACCGGCAGUUUAAAAACCAAAAGAAUGUAAAACAAAACGCGCUCGCGUGCAGGAACGUUAGUUUCUUUUAAUAAAAAAAAUUAAUAAAAUUAAAAAGAAAAUACGGAAAGAACAAAGAGGGAAAAAAAAAAAGAAUGAAAAUAAAAUAUAAGUGACAAGGGGGACGACGUCGUAGGAGGAAAAGGCUACUUAAACGAGCAAUUGAGCAAAUGUGUAAAGCUUGAGCGGGUGAAUCCCCGAAACCCCAAAUCAUCGAGCCCUCCUUCCUUUCUCUCUUCCCCAAAUUCGCACAGCUUCAAUCUUCACUUGUACUGUAAGCUUCUUCUCUCUACUGCUCAAUUUUCUUGUUGUGGUUGGUUUGUUGGAAGUUUUGGGGAUUGUACAAGGUUCAAAUUCUCAAUUGAAUGGCUGUGUUAGGGUUUAGGGUUAUGACUAGCGUUUCUGCUCAGCUUCUAUAUUUGAUCAAUGGUUAAUUGUAUAGGUGUUAUUGUUCAUUGUUUAUCUUUGCCUGUGUUUGAUAAGUGUGAAAUGGAUUAUGAGGUGCAUGAAAACAAUAACAGAAGCUGUUGGGAUUUGGUGUAAUGGCAUACUGAAAUGAAUUACGAUACAGCUGUGUUCCCUUGUUGUUUGGUCUUCGUUGGUGUUCCCAACUCGUUUGGAUUCCGAUAACCGUGAAAGCAAGAACAAAAACUGGAGUUUCGUAGCUUGUAAAAUUUUCGGAACAAUUUUCCCGGGACAGGAGGGGCCCUGCUCUUUCUGUGGGUCUGUGUUGGGGAUGGGGAGUUGUGGAUGUGUUUUUUCAGUGCCCAUACAUUGGUUUUAGUGUAAGGUGACAUUGGUUUCAGUCGUAUCAUUUUGCAUUCUAGCCUAAUUGUUUUGGUCCUGCCAGGUGGUAAUCAUCAUGGAUUCAAACUUAGACCCUCCGUCCACAGACAAGGGGAUUGCAGUUUCCGGGCCUUCAAAAGAUAAAGUUAAAAGGAAUUAUCGGCACCGAUCUCCAGGUAGUGGGUCAUCUUCAUCUGAUGGUUAGUUUUUAAGUUUGUAUCUUUGGCUUUCAGAUCUAAUAAGGAGUGAUCUUGUACUGGGUCUCUGUAAUUUUAAUAAUUUAGCUUCAUGUCUGUUGAGGUUAUACUGAUGCAGGAAAUUACUAGAGUACAGGCUGUAUCAAUUGAUUGCCUUCCCUUUUAAGUACUUUAUUCUUAGGAAAAACAAAAGUUUGGUUCAGGUUGGGUGCAUGUUGCUAAGAAUAUAUACCAAAUUCUUGCUCAUUCAGAUAACCUAGAGUAGCUCAGAGCUGCAAAAUUGAAUUAGGUUUUUGAGUUGUAUUUGUAAGUUUGGUCUUGCAAUGCUUUUGUUCAUUUAGUGACAUGUGCAGCAGCUUAAGGGUGAGCGCUUACAUUCUUGUAUAUUAUGGUGCUCAUGAAGCUUUUGUGAUUAUUUCUCAGGGAGUCCUGAGCACAACAACAGCUCUAGCCCAAAACCUUCAAGAGGAGAUCCUGGAAAAAUCUCUGAACAUCAACCGAGAAGGAAAGAUGAUGGGAAAGAAUUAAAUAAUGAUUCCGAGAGGAGCUAUAGGCAUUCUGAUAGGCAGUCCAGAAAUUCAAAGGGUUACUAUGCGCAUCCUGACUACAUCAAAGAUGAGAAGCAUGCAGAUGAUGAAGAAAGAAUUAAUCAGAAGUCAACUUUUCAUCCGGGUAGGGAAUCAAGGGGCAACACUCAUUUUGAUCCUGUCAGGUCAAGAAACCAUUCACGGUACCUCAAUAAAGAUUCUCAAGAUAAAUAUGAUAGUUUUGAACAUAGGAGCAGGGAUAAAGACAGAGGAUCUAGAUUUCUCGAUUACAAAAAAUAUAAAGAUGACUCAUUGUCAGAAAGACUUGGAUCUGGUAAAAGUGUUGGACAUUUUGAAGAUAUGGAAAGUGAGAGAUAUAGGCAUAGAGCAGACAGAGAUUCUCAAGAUGAGAAAAGAGAUUAUCGUAGAAGUUCAAGAAGCGAAAGGAAUUUCUCUUAUGAAGAGUCUAUGGGGCAUCGAAGUGAGUCAAUUUCAAGGAGAGAUGACAUUAAACAUCGUGAGAGUGAAGGUUAUAAGAGUCACCUGAAGGAAAUGGAUGAUGAAAAGCUUGAAAGGGAUCAAAGAAAGAAAUAUGAUGAUACCGAAACUAAGAGGAGCAAGGACCAAAUCACUAAAGAGCCUACAGAGAGUUAUGAGAAUAAAGAUAUGUGUAGGAGUCAAGAUCAAGGAUCUGCUGCAAAACGAUCAAAGUUUUAUAACUUGGACAGGGGCAUUGCUGGUCAGGAAGAUGGUAAUGGUUUUUUAUGUUUUCAAAAUAAUCUCAAUUGCUCAACAAUAUUUAUUCAUGUCUAAUCUCAAUUAACUUUUACACCUUGUUCAGUUUCCAAGUUCACAACUACAUCUGAUGGAAGGGACUCUUCAAGUUCCAAGCAAAUUCAAGAUGGUAAACUGGAGAAUGACAUAAAUGCUGCAAAAGUUGCUGCAAUGAAAGCUGCCGAAUUGGGUAUGUGAUACAUUUAUUUAGAAGUUGUUCUCAGUCUCAUAGGAUUAUAUUCAUGAUAUUAUGUGAUUGCUAUAAAUAGUCAUAAGACACACGCAAGCACAAAAUAUAGUAGGUUUAAUAAGUAGUUAAAAUGGGGAGCCAAGACCAGUAUCUUGUAGAUCUCUUUACUACAAGGGGUCAAAUUUUUAAAAUGAAGUGUUUGAAUCCUGGUUGUCAGAGUAUUUCAGUCUUUAUAUGUAGUGCUCUACGUGACUGGCUUCAUUAUCUUUGUUUUGUGGUUGUAGAACCUAAAUUGGGGUCUUGCAUCUCACAUGUUAGAUGAUAUGAACACUUGAACUUAAAAUGCAUGUCAUUCAUUUCUACUUGGUAUAACUGAUCUAACUGCUAUGAUGCAAGUCCUUCAAUAUGUCCUCAUGUAUAUGUUUAUAUAUGUUAUGAGAAAAGGUGUCCGCCUCUCGCUCUCUCGCGAAAGACAUAAUAUGUAUUUGUAUCUCAUAAAAAUAUCCUUUUAUCAAUACAAGGUACUACUUUUCAAAGGAAAAUAGAGGUACUUCUUUUCAAAGGAAAACAAAAACAUAUCAUUAAGGUACUGAGCCCUACUAAGCCUAACACACUCCCUUCUCUUCACCUGAUAUUUUGGGGUACAUCAUAUGAGUGAGUUAGGUAACACUGAGCUAGAAUCCUACCCAUCUCCUCUUGCUAUCAUGAUUGUAUAUAUGUAACACUGAACUAGAAGCCUACAUAUCCUUUCUAAUUGUCUUAAUUCUACAUAGACGUGACAUGCAACUUUUAUGGAAUCAGGCAUAGAUUUAGUUACUAUAACCUCCCUUGCUUGCUUAUACUAACACAAUCAGGAAUUGGGUAUAGACUCUAGCUACUGAGUAGAUUCAUAGAUUUUUAACCAAUUACUCAGUCUAAAAGCUCUUCUGCAUAUUUGCAGUAAAUAGGAACCUUGCUGGUGCGGGUCCUGCAGGUUGCCUAACUGCUGACCAAAAGAAAAAGCUGCUGUGGGGCAAUAAAAAGAACACAACUGCAGAAGAGGUAUCUCCCAUGGUUUAUUAUUAUUUUAUUUUUGUUUCCUUAGCAUAACAAAAGUUGCAAUUCUAGUAUUCGGGGUUUCUGUCGUCACUUACCGUUAUCACAUAAUCUGAAUAUGCGGCAGAUUACUAUGAUCCUUUGUGGAUGAAUUGGCAAUAUAUACUUUUAACUAGACUGUUGAAUUACCCUAUCAAAUUGAUAGGUCUACCUCCAUUUUAGUAAGAAAAAUAGAUGUUGGGCAUGUGGUUUUCAAGGGAAAAACAUAUCAGUUCAAGUUAUAAAAGUUGUCUUAAUUUUGUAUUCUUGUUUCUUAAAACAGUGUUAGCUAGUUGGCUAUUGUUUCAAUUGUUAUGCAUGUCUGUGGAUCGUUUUUCUUAUUGUACAAGAUAUAAUAUGUUUCUUUAUAGAAGUUUUGUAUUCCUUGUGGUUCUUAUCAGGAGAAAAGCAAUGAGAACCAUCAACCAUGAAUAGUAGCUUGAACAACAGGAAAAAGAACAAUCGUACUCUGUUGAGAAAUGUGCCAUGUGCUUUUAAGUUUCUUAUGUUUAUAGACAAUAGAUUUCUGUUUUCAAAUGGUGGUCAAUAGAUUUGGUUUAUCGUGGAUGUGUCUGACUCCAGCCUCUUAGUAAGAUCAUUGAUGCCCUCCAUGUUGACAGGCAGGUCACCGUUGGGACACGGCUUUGUUUCCUGACCGGGAAAGACAAGAAAAGUUCAAGAAACUCAUGGUAAGUUUUUGUUUGUCUUAAUGGUAAUCAUUUGUCAGGACAUUUUGCAUAUAAGAGAAGCUUCUUUCUUGUUCCUAAAUGACUGGUUUACAUCCUAGAAUUUCUUCACCUACUAACACAAUUUUAGAGUCUGAGGUUGCCUUGGUGCCUAUGGCCAAUUGUAGGGUGUGAAGGGGGAAGUGAAGUUGGAGCAGAACCCCAACAGCCAAGAGAGCACCGAUCUUCUCAGAGCCGAGAAGCAGAAGGAACUCCAGCAGGAUCUAGAGAAGCAGUAUACAGCUGGAUUGAGAAGAAGAGAUGGCCGCACUGUUGGUUUAGGUCUUUAAGCAUUCUAAGAUUCUAUUGUACCGUUAAAACAUUGGGAUAUUCUGUAUUACUCUUGUGCCAUAGCUGUGCUUACCACCUUUCUGUCGGUCUCACUUGGAACAUAUUCUAUUGUACUGUAAACCUGAGGUCCAUUUUACUUAUUGUUUUCCUAUUGGUGGAAUUCUUAUAUUCAUUUGUUUGCGUCUUAUCUAUUUUACUCAUUGUUUUCCUAUUGGUGGAAUUCUUAUAUUCAUUUGUUUGCGUCUUAUCUAUUUUACUCAUUGUUUUCCAGCAUUGUUGAAGCCUACUUCGUUUUUUUUAUCUCGGAGUCAGCUGGUAUUAGGUUUUUUAAAUUAGCCAAUACGAGUGGGGUUGAUGUGGGGUGGAGGUGUCUCUUUGAUGGUGGGUGUGUAUUUGGCUGUCAGGCUGUGGGUGGAGAGGGUGGCGGGUUAUUUUGUGGCGGGUGGUGAGCUGGACUAUGGAAGGCUGUAGCGCUUUGGAUUGAGACAUUGGGUGGGGGAGGCUUGGAAAGCAGGUGGUAUUUCAGGGUCUUGGGAACUGAGGGGAUCAAACUGAUUUGAGGUGGGAAUGGAGGGGUUAGACUGGGCAUGACCGAAUGACUGCUGGUUGCCUGCAAAAAAAAACAAUGUUAGAUUAAGCUGCUUUUGAAGCUGUGGCAAUAGGGUUGAUCACUGUGUGUUGAAAUAUGAAGCUGCACCGACUUUUCCAAAUUUCCCAGCAGAUGAAAGAAACCAUGGUAGAACUUUCCGAUCUUCUUUCGUUUUGAUUAUUCAUGGUUGAGAUAGCCUCCAGCCACCUAUCCAUCGUGGUAAUUUUACCCACAUCAAUUCUGUAGUUCAAAGGGCUAGCAAACCAAGCCUGUACCGUCCAUUGACAUUGGAGAAGGCAAUAUUCCACCGUUUCAUCAUGGCUGAGACAGAUGGGGAAAAUUGGAUUCUGUGUCAUUCUUCUAACAUUCAAGCUUGUCAUUGUGGGCAAAGCAUUAGAGAGAGCCUCUCCAUGGGAAUGUUUUCACUUUGGGGAUAGUGUCGAUCGACCAAAUGCACUUCCAAGUUGUGGAGGACACAGCGUGAGAGGACGAGGCCUUGUCUGUGGCCAUAGUAACAACGAACCAUGAUAAGCCAAAUGAUGUGUUCAUAUUAUCCUAUAUUUUUAAGCCCUUUAAUCUUGAUAUUUGUGUUUAGUUCUCUUCUUUAUGACUUAUUUAUGUUAAUUUAGUGCUUUUAUAGGUUUGUGUCGUAAAGAGAAGAAAAUGAGCUAAAACGAGCAAAUAAGGAUUGAAAGACGACUACAAUCCCAAGUGCCAGAAUCUGCCUAUGCAGAACAACCAACUUUGCCGAAUUACAGGGAAUUACUCGGAUUAAAUCAGACUAUGAGCCUUAUAUCAUUGGAAAGCUAUGGAAGUCUACUUUCUGAAGAAUUUUACGGAUCUUGAUUUCGAUACUUAUGGACUGAGUUAUGAUCAUUUGAAUGAAGAUAGGUCAGAUCAGAAAAUCUGCUCGGAAUUACAAGCUUUUGUGGAGAACUCAAGAUCUAUGGCACAAGAUCAUUAACCCUAAAGCUUCAAGGACAAUAACGCAGAUGAGGAUUCAAUGAGUACAUGUAUUCCUAGUUCUACAAGAGAUAUCUCAAGGUUUUCCCAUUCCAUAUCAAGAAAAGAGUCUGAAUCCAAGUCUUACAAGGAAAUAUGAAGCCAAAAAUGAGCAGGAAACUUUUCUAUAUAAGGGAGCACGAAUUUCACAUUGAGGGAGGUCUCGGAAGCACAUUGAAGAUGCCUAAAGGAGCAGAGAUCUAUCCACCCUUCACCUUUUCGUUCUUUUUAUGUUUUCGUUAUGUUUUAUUUAGUCAUGUUUAGUUAAACCUUUUAUAGGGUUAGGAUGAUGCCCUAGCAUGAUUGUUUAUGUUUUUGAUGAUUAAUUAAUAGAUUUAUAGUUUCUUAAUGAUGAAUGCUUAAUCACUGGUUGAAUUUUAUGCUUGAUGUUUAAGUUCUUUGAUUGAUCACCUUAGGGCUUUGCAUUUAGUAAUUGGAAGAUAAAUUUGAAGCAGAGAUACAAUAUAAUUUAUAUAGCUUCUUGUGGUUGUGGUUAAGUGUGGUGAAUUACAUUGUUGCUUGAGAAAGAAUAAUGGUUUACUUGAUUCCCUUAUUUUCUAGUACGUAAUGAGUCCUGCAUGUUAAAUUUAUACCUGAGAAUGAUAAACUGCAUAGUUAGGAUAUACGACCUUUACCCGAGAGGGAGAGCAUCAUACACUUAAGGAAAAUUAUGGUCUAGAGUACCUGAGAAGGACUUAGAUACGGGAAUUGUCAUCUAGAGAAACGAAAGAGUCUGUUAGUUGCAUCAAAGCAUACAUAAGAUUGUUAGUGGUUGAUUAUGACGCCCUAGAUUCAUUUAUCAUUAUUUGUUUACUUAUUUUAUUGUUUCUUUGUUUCUUUAAAUUGUUAUCGUGAUUUGUGUGUUUUAGUAUAGUUAGUUUAGGUAUUUCAUAAUUUGAAUUGAACUAAUAUCCUCGUGGGAACGACAACCCCUUCUCUUUCAUUUCACUAUACUACAUCCACCCUGUAUACUUGCAGGAAAUCCACCACCAAACCUAACAGAAUUAAGAGAUAAUGAUGAUCCUAGUUCAGAUAGGAACAGCUAGUUCCCUAGAUUCUCUAAUCUCUAGAUAUGCUGUGCAUAUCCCAUGUAUCAUAAUCGAUAGAGUUCUGUUUGUAUUUGUUGUUAUCUCAAGUAGAUGAGAUGUUUAUCUUGCAAACAACUGAUCUAUAUAAAUACAACACAUUGUCAGGCUAGUGUUUAAUCCUUGACGUUUACCAAAGUAUUCUUCUCUCUGUUAGUUGGUUUACCAUAAGGAUCGGCUUGACCCGGCAUUGCUGUGUCCGGGAAGAAUUGACAUGCAUAUUAACAUUCCUAUUGCACUGCAGGAUUUAGCAUAUUGGACUCUUUAACUAUCUCGGGAUUCAUCGCAGCAACCAUCAGUCUUUAUGACAAAUUUGAGGGGCUAAAUGAGGGCAGUGAGGUCACACCUGCCCGCUGCAGUGGUAGCUGAGGAGCUCAUGAAGAUUGAUGAUGCUGUUGUUGCUCUUGAAUGGCAGCUAGUGAGUUUGCUCAAGAGGCAGAGGGUUGAGAAAAAUGAAGCAGAGAAAGGGUAGUCACAAAGUUGAGAUUUAGGAGUCAAAGAGACAGAAAAUUGAGCCAAGUAGAUUGACUAGAUUAGCUAACAGUACUCUCCUGGAACAUAAAUUCUGUCCUCCAUCCUGGAACAUACUUAACAAAUCAGAGGAUGACAAGUUUCUUGUCCUGCAUCUCCACCUCUCUUAUUUUUUCAUUGGCUCCUGCCUCCUGCAGUCCAGCACGUUUGUGAGCUUGUGGUCAUGUUUUUUUGGGUCAGGGUGCACCUAUGUAUGUUGUUCGUCAUNNNNNNNNNNNNNNNNNNNNNNNNNNNNNNNNNNNNNNNNNNNNNNNNNNNNNNNNNNNNNNNNNNNNNNNNNNNNNNNNNNNNNNNNNNNNNNNNNNNNNNNNNNNNNNNNNNNNNNNNNNNNNNNNNNNNNNNNNNNNNNNNNNNNNNNNNNNNNNNNNNNNNNNNNNNNNNNNNNNNNNNNNNNNNNNNNNNNNNNNNNNNNNNNNNNNNNNNNNNNNNNNNNNNNNNNNNNNNNNNNNNNNNNNNNNNNNNNNNNNNNNNNNNNNNNNNNNNNNNNNNNUCAACCAAUUUAGUAAUCGUUAAGGCCCUCAAACUCGAAAACAAAUGGACGGACUGAAUUCUGUCCGGUUCAUGUUUAUACCAGAAAAACACAAUUUUGAGGGCCUUAACGAUUACCAAAUUGGCUGAAAUUUUGCAGAGAUGAUCUACACUAUUAUCUAGAUACUAGACGGUGGAGAUUAGAAAAUUCGAUCGAAAAGUGGUGAAAAAAAUGAAAAUCCGCACCAAACUAUUGUUGUGGACGUCCGUAGCUGAGAAAAAUCCUAUAUAUAAUCCUCUAUAUAUAUAUAUACAUAUAGGCUCGUUCUGGUGCGGACGUCUGCACUUUAAGCAAUAUAGGCUCGUUUUGGUGCGGACAUAUGCACUCGGCUUAAAGUGCGGACGUCCUUCCGUUCUCCUCCGUCCAGCGCCGAUGAUGGCGCGUCUCCACCCCAGCGGACUCCAACAGCGUCCUCAAUCAUUUUUCCUCUCCGGCGAGUCCGCCGAAUUCCAGUUUUCUGGCGAGAUCACCCAAAACUUCAAACAAGAUAGAUCUCGCCGGAAAACUGGAAUUCGACGGACUCGCCAAGGAGGGAAAGUGGUCGGGGACGGUGCUGGAGUCCGCUGGGGUGGAGGCUCGCCAUCGUCGGCGCCGUCCGGUGGCGAACGGAAGGACGUCCGCACUUUAAGCCAAGUACGGAUCGGAUGUCUGCUUUGGAACGUUUAUGUGUGUGUAUAUAUAUAUAUAUAUACAGGCCCGCUAUGAAACGGCGUCCGCACUGGGCUUAAAGUGCGGACGUCCCUCCGUUCUCCUUCAUCCGGCACAGACAACGGCACGCUUNNNNNNNNNNNNNNNNNNNNNNNNNNNNNNNNNNNNNNNNNNNNNNNNNNNNNNNNNNNNNNNNNNNNNNNNNNNNNNNNNNNNNNNNNNNNNNNNNNNNNNNNNNNNNNNNNNNNNNNNNNNNNNNNNNNNNNNNNNNNNNNNNNNNNNNNNNNNNNNNNNNNNNNNNNNNNNNNNNNNNNNNNNNNNNNNNNNNNNNNNNNNNNNNNNNNNNNNNNNNNNNNNNNNNNNNNNNNNNNNNNNNNNNNNNNNNNNNCUGAAUUCUGUCCUGUUCAUCUUCUCCAUUUGUUUUUCGAUUUUGAGGGCCUUAACGAUCACCAAAUUGGCUGAAAUUUUGCAGAGAUGAUCUACACAAGAUGAUCUAGAUAUGUCUAGAAAGAAGUUUGAGGAAAUUCGAUCGGAAAGUGGUGCAAAAAUGGAAAUCCGCACCAAAGCCUUCGGUGUGGACGUCCGCAACCGAGAAGGCCUGUAUAUAUAUAUAUAUAUAUAUUUCGGGUGCUGCUAUUAACACACCCCAUCUAUUUUCCUAUCUACAUAUUUCAAUUUUAUUUACAAACUUGUUACUUGAAUUUGUUUCAUGAUUAAUUAUCAUCAUAGAUGGAGUGUGUUAAUAUUAAAAAAUGGUGUGUUAAUAGGAUAUGACAUUUCAGAUAUAAAGCAAAGUUGGUGCUAGGACAUUUUUUGGUACUGAAGCAAAACGGUAUUGUAAUCCUCUUCAUUGUAAGUAGUUUGUAUAUAGUUUCUAUCAUAGUAGCUCUGUAAUCCUCGACUUUGUUAAAUGAAAUACUGAAAUACUGAAAACACAAUCUAUGUUAUCUAAACUUGACUCGGUUUUGUAAUCCUUUGCCAGGAUCUUGAUAGUAAUGCAAGUAAUUCUACUACUGGAAGUCCUGUGUCCAAGUAAUUCAGGGUCGGGUCAGUUUUGUUGGACAGAGGAACCGAACAACCAUGUUCAGCUAGUCACUAACUAACCAAGAGAUUCAUACUCAACCUUCUAAUGGUGGAAAAAAAAUUAUGUUCAAGUAAACUUGUUUUGUUUUUGAAUAUAAAUAUAAGGGUGAUUGAAUCUGUUGAUCAGCAUGCUUCUAAUUGCUAUGGAAAAGAGUCGAAACUCCACUUGUGGUAUGAGAAAACACAAACGGGCGCAAAAUGUGGUAUGUAGCACAAUUGCCUUCCACCACAUUGUUUCAGCUAGCACUGUAAACAAGACAUCGAUGUACACCGCCUGCAGUUGUGGAUGGAGAUUUCCUCCCCAAUCUUAAAAAUGGUGGAACAGGUGGAGUUCUAAGAGAUCACAAUAGUCAGUUUCUUGGUGCUUUUGCGCGGCACAAAUCCUUGGUCACUCCAGCUACACAAGUGCUUUAGAGUUUAUUCAAGCAAGGUAAAUUUCAAAUAGUAAUCGAGUCAGAUUGCCUUGUAGCAAUACAAGACUUGCAGCCUCUAGAUUAUCCUAGUUUGAAGUUUGGGAACAUUGAAGAUGAUAUCUGUGCUGCACUCCAGGGCAGGAAUGAUGCAUGUGUUGUUUGGAUUCCACGAGUUGCAAAUGCUGCAGCUCACAGACCGGCAGGUGAAGCCUAGCUAUGAGUUUGCUCAAGAUCUGAAAUAGCUUAGUUGAGUUCCUGAUAUGCUUAAGGGCAUCUUAAGCUCUAUUGAGAAGGAGAAAAAGGAAACGCUAAGAUGUCCUUGAGCAUAUCAGUACUUGAUUAUCCAUAUCAAUGAAGCUCAGUUACUUUGUUUCAAAAAUAGCGUGCUCCCAUUUGAUCAUUUUGAUAUGAUACAUAGUUAUCACAUAUUUUUUCUUUGCAAUAUAAAACAUUCUGAUGAAGAUCGCCAGAGAAUGGCUCAAUUAGUCCUUCAGUCCAGGUUCUGCUGUCUACUAUACAAGUACAUAUCUAUAUAAUUACAAAAUUUGACUAGCUCAGACCAUGGUACUUCACUUCAGUCUUCAGAAGAAUUUGAAGAUGCUUUACUUCUCUUGCUACAUACAGGCAAUACUGGUGUUCUCAAAGGGACGCUGAUUCUGUAAGUGCGUGAGGAAAAGUUCCAAGGCACACCCAAGUCUUGUAAAUAUCAACCAGAAGGUGGUAAUGUAUACUCCUACGUACUGAAUACCAAAAAUACUCCAGUCCUAAAGGUCAUCAGGAAAGAUCAAUUGCAGGUCUUCAUUAUCUCUAUAGACUUGAACAAGAGCAGCAGCUUUAUAAACAAACAACCCAACCAUGGCUGGCACAAGCUGUGAGGAAAAAGCAGUCAUGUGAACAACAAGACAAGAAUUUUAACAGGUUUGACUUCUUCCAUAUUCAUAAUAUGUCAAGUUCUACCCUUUGUAAAAUAGUUUCGAGAUUUACCUGAAAAUCAAAGAGAUCACUUGAAACAUAUUGAUGAGACAGGAUCCACAAUCCAUAUAUUGCUGCUGGUAACACAAGCCUUGGAGAUGAAAGAGCCAUACCACAGCCCUUAAUCAAUUUCUCUAGAGAAUCCUCCAGAUCCUGACUUCUUAUUCCAAUUCUACAUCAGAGGAUACAUAUUAGCUUGAGGAUACAAUCACAAUGAACAUUAACAGAAAUAACAAGGAACAAUACAAAGAAGUUUUCAGUUUUACUUCUUCGAUUUCUUCUGCCUGAAAAUCUGAGGGACUGCUUCUCGGGAUAUAUUGUCCACAUGUUGGUACAAGAGUUUAAGGUACAAGCAACUGCACUGACAGUUAGAUUUUUAAGAUUCGAGGUAAUGACAAGUAGAAGGAUCAACAAAAAUGAAGGAAAAAAGUCCUCUAUAUUGACAAAUCAUCGUAGACUUCAUAAACUUGCAAAAACUACUUUGAAAAAUUAACAUUGACAAAUAAGUUGUAUCAACAAACCUGAAUAGAACUCCUGUCGCAUAACUGAUAGCACCCUGGGGGGAUGACUCCAUGUUAGUUUUCCAUAAGAAAAACAUAAACUACAUUCUUUCACCAAUAUCUAAUUAGCACUAAAGUGAAUGAACAGAAGGAUCUGCUGUUUUCUUUAACAUUGAGGGAGCUGCUGUUAAAAGCAAGUUCUAAAACUUGGGAAUUUUACAAAUUUACGGGCCAGAACAUUAAAUCUUAAAACAGUCUGUUAUAGCAUGGAAUUAUCUGCACUUUCAAAUUUAGAGCUAGUCUGGUUUAUGUAAAGGUAUACCUGGAAUGACAGUGUUACAAGACAAUACCCAGUACAAGCAGUUCCAAUACCAAUAGACAAAAGCAUUAGUUCCCUCUGUAUCUGCAGGGUGCAGGAAAGGACAGUGAGGUUAGUUUAAUAGACAUCAAUUUGAACACAUAGACACACGCAGAGGGAGGGAGGGAGGGGGAGAGAGAGAAAGACUUGUGUACUACAAGUAAUAGAGAGACCACCAUUAACUAGACCUCAUAUACCUAUAACCAAGGACUGAUGUGUGUUUAAUCUUAAUUUCUUGACUUUUACUUCAAAUAAACUAAUAUACAGACGAGAUAUCCUUCCAUAAGUUCACUUUUAAUAGAUUUCCUUGUUGCAAAUUAUCAUCAUCAUAAACAUCUGUGAUUUUUAAUAAGAAAAAGUACCUAUGAGUUGCAAAUAAUAGCUAUUAUCCUUCUACAUAUAUCUGUAUAUUACGUUCAAAUAAAGCGAAUCCUAAUGGGAAAAAAGUUGAAAUGCUAGUUAUAGCCAACAUUAAGCUGUAAUUGGCUUAUGAACAUACAUACAAGGGUCUUCAAACCUGCACCUUAGGUAAUGAGGCAUAAUUUUCAUCUAUGUGAUAUUUAAUUAUUUAUAGUAUUUACUAAACACUCGUCUUGUACUCAUUUUCUUUUCUGGUCCCUGUCCUAAAAUAUUGAAGGCUAAAGUACCUCCAAAUGUCAAGUAUCAUGGAUUGCCUCUGAAUACUUUAAUAAAUUCAAACAAACAUCAUGGUAUCCUUCACCCAAUUGGUAUGUGAUGUAUAAAAAAAAAAAAAAGCCGCUGAAAGUUGAAUCAUCAGCUGUUUACUUCCAAAAUAAGCCGGUCCCCUAAUAGUUUCUUAAAAAGUUGACGUGGUUAAUAUUGGUAGAUGGAAGAACUAUUAAUCCAUUUAAGAGAUGAACCCAAGAGUUUCUGAAGGGGUGAAACUUGGGAGAAUCUAAAAGAAUAGAGCAUUUGAAAUAUGAACCACUUUACAGGAUAUUCACAUCUUAUAAAGUGGAAAAACAUACACAUAACCCCUGACUUAUACAAGAAAAAAAAACUGAGAAACAUACUGAGGAAGAGUAUCAUACAGCUUCAUAUUGAAGAAGGUUGAGUUUCUUUCUUCUUUCACUGUCAUUCUGCAUGGCCUGUUAAGACAUAUUAAGUAACAACAAAGAACUAUAAUUAUCCCUCAAAGGUGUCACUGUAAGUAUCAUUAGUGAACGAAUACUUAAGCUUUUUUUCUUUUCUCUUCCUUUUUUGUAAUAAUGGCAGUGUCCGAAGCAAGCAUAAGAGAAACCUCAUAAUGAUAGAUAAUUUAAAGCAUACCUUGGCAAUGGCCUUUUUAUUAAUUGGUGCAGAUCUAUCACCUAACACCCAUUCAUUGGUUGCUGACAGUUUCAAAAACCCACCAGCAUCAUCCACAACCUAACAAUGUUGAUUCAGAAAAUAUACAAUAAGAGAUCAAUACAUUUUCCUUUAUUCAGCUAUCAAAAUCUGAAGCGAGCAUAUAGUGCAUUUGGCAAUUAGAUGAGUGAUAUUUGAGCAGACAAUGCAGAAAGCUUCAAUCAAAGAAAAUGUCAAUGGUACUGCAAUUACAUUCUUAAGGAGCAAAAUGAAGCCCUCCAAAACUUAAUUGUGUUCAUUGCUUUUGACAACUGGACCAUUAAUCAACAUACCAAGUUCACAAGCUUUAACCUCAAAGAUCAAAUCAUGCACACAUCUGGAAUGCACUAAAAUUACCACAGGCCUUCACAUGUCAAAACUUUUCUCUUUUGCAAAUAAUGAAACUAAGCACCAGUGUGAAGGUACAAAAUUUAGUCAUGAAUUAAAAAUCUAUGAAUGCUCAUUAACAACCAAAACUAAAUAAAUAAACGAUAAUCUAAUUUUGAGUUUCUUCACAGCAAUGACUGAAUGUUAUUAAAGUUUUAAUACACACAAUGAUCACCAAUAUGCCUCUUGUGCCUUCUUAAAGAUUAAGAAAUACAAUGCAUGCAUAUGUAUUAUAACAAAACAAAUACUUUAUACUAUCAUAGAAAGGGAUUCCUACAACAGGAAUGCAAAGAAUUUCUGUUGAGUUCUUUUCAAAUCUUUUCUCUCUAAAUUCCUUUACUUUUCCCUCUGAUUGACGCAAAUGAGCUUCAGUGAAUGCAAAGAGACAAUUCUCAAGCUGAAGUAAAAAGGCAUUGUUUCAAAGGACCAAAAGCCCCAUGUGGAGACGGUUUUCCACCUAUUUAUAGGACAAGCAUUGAAACCUGCUUACUCUAGAGGUGACAAUAAUUUGGAAGAAUACACCAUACUGUCAAAAACUUGGUUCCCAAAACGGCAAACCUGAACGAGUGUCCAUUCUAGACCAUCAACGUAUGUAAUACUUAAUACAAGGUGUUUGUGGCUAGAUUUAGAUGAUACUUAAGGAAACUCAUCAAGCCAAUCAAGGGAGCUCUGUCCCUGGGGAAAAUAUUGCUGACAAUAUCAUGGUUGCUCAAGAGUUGUUGCACUAGUGCAGGAAUUCUAGUGAGUUUUUUCUUUGCAUGAGAAUUGAUCUCUCCAAAGCCUAUGAUACGCUCUGCUGGUCUUCUGUUAAAAUCAUAGUCAACCUAAUCAUGCAUUGUAUCCCUUCAACUACUAUUCAAAUGUACAGAAUUGGGGACUUUAUUAAAUCUUUCCAGACUGGUACAGGGACAGACCACUUGACCAGAUGUCACCUUAUAUGUCUGUCAAUUUCAUGGAAGAACUGUCUCAUCUAAUUACUUGUCCAGCGAAGAUUAGUCAAUGGAACACCAAUGACCCGUACAAAAGUCAGAACAAUCAAAAAACCAAAGUUAAACUGCAUACAAGCCACUCCAACCAAGACAUAACCCUUACAAGAGACCACCAUUCAAGAACCAUACUCCCUCCUAUAAGCUUGAAUCUAUCAGACAACAAACAACUUAGGUUCUUACAAUUUACAAUUUUAACCCAAAAGAUACCCAAAAAAAGAACCUUGGAAGCACAAAAUAAGCGGUUGAAGAUCAAUGCAAAGCAAAGGCUUGCGCUCAAUAUGAAUAAACGCGAUACACACGCAAAUAAAACAAUGACAACAUUAAAAUUCAGCUUAUGGGCAUAUACCCAAGCGAGGAACACAUUUACACGAACCACACAUUUGAUAUACAUUGAAAUCAUGCACAUUCACAAUCUCUAUACAAACUAACCAAAAAAGCUAAAAAUGCAAGAGGCCAUGUACCUGCUCUUGUGCGGCUUGUUGUUGAGUAGUAAUAUCAACACUUUGACCGACUUGAUCACCAUCAACAAAAUUGGUAAAUUCCCUCCGCCAAAACACGUCGGAAAGUCUUGAAACAAAGUCUCCAUUCAACUGUCUAUCCUUAAAGAAUGUCUGCAGCAAGUCCUCCUCUACAACUAAACAUAUAAAUGCAAAAUGUUUAAGCAAAAAGAAAUGGGGUUUGAAAAGUGAGUUAAGGGUUAUUUACCAGGAGAUGGGGUUGUUCUGAGGGCCGAGACAGAUGUGUUUCUGCUGGAAAGUGAGCGAGGAUGAUGGAUUGGAGUAGUUAAUCGGAAUGAGGAGCUGAAAAGGGUCUCCAUGUUUGAGUGGUGAGUGAACAAGCAGCUAUUGAAUUUGAGAGAUAGAGGGACCCAAAGGGGUUAUCCGUCCGUCGGAGGAGAAAAUCUUCUGUGCCACGUGGCUCGUGCGACCAGCCACUCAACAAGUGACACGUAUUAAUUUUUUUUUGAAUUAAAUUCAAUUUACAUCAUGAAGUUUGGGAGUAACUUCGUGUUAAUCCUUAUACUUUCAAUUUCAUCAGUUUACCCCUCAAACUUUUGAAUUUUCCUCAAGCGUGACCAAAUGUCCUAUAUUCUGUCUAAAUCGGACGUUAACUGCUGAUAAUUUUAACCUUAACUGUGAGGCCAGUAUCUAGAAUUUGGGCAAAUCGGACCUUAUAUGUCCAAAUCGAACCUUAACUGCUGAUAAUUAAAUGUCAAUUCAAACGGAAUAUGAGAAUUUGGGCACUGCAGACAGAAAUUGAAAAGUUUAAGGGGUAAACUGAUGAAAAUAAAAGUGUAGGGACUAACAUGAAGUCACCUCCAAACCACAAGGGGGUAAACUGAAUUUAAUUCUUUUUUUUUCUUCUCAGAGAAGACAGAAAAAAGCGGUAGCAAGCAUUGGGAGAGCAGCUGUGGUGGAAACGGAGGGGGAGGAGGAGCAGAGGGAGGAGCAGAAGAGGAGGAGAGGAGGGUGGGAAUUGUUGGGAAAGGGAGGGGUAGGGAGGGGAGAGAAGCAGAAAGAGCAGUGUGAGGAGAGAAGGGAGUCAUGGAGAGCGGAAGAGAGGUAAAAUCCAGAAAACGAAAUUAAACGAACUACAAAAAUAAAACAUACUACUAAAAAACUGGUACGCUCGUAAUUAAACAAGCCUCCAAACGAAAACCUAUUUGUAUCUCCUACAAUUACAUGUGUAUUUAGAUCAACUCGCCUAACACGCACUUGUGGUACGAGACGCCUAAAUAUCUUUAUAGCAAAUCAAUAGAAUAGAUCAUCAUCGGAGACUUAACCCCAGUCAGAUCAAUCCUUACACCUUCCCUUUCCCUUUCAGAUCGGGAGUACCCUUGCCUUCAGCUUUCUCCAACUCCUCUGAGAUAUUCUUCUUAGCUUCAUUCAUGGUUAUGGCGUCAAAGGUUGGUGAUGAUUACAUAAGUUGUCUCUCCUUAGUGUAUACACAUGACCCAAAGAACACUAGAAUUUGCUAUAUCACAAAUAUUGCAUUUAGCAUAUAUACAUAGCAAAAAUACUUCCGUUUAUGCAUUAAUGCAUUAAUAGUACAAAAUAGAGGAUGAUCAAUAUAUCUUUGAUUACAACUCCAUGCUAGCUAGAAUACACAUAUAUGUACAUCAUCAUUGUAUUGUAGCUAGAGAUCAGCGCUUUACUUAAUAGUAGAAUACACGUACAACAUUCUGCUCGAGUUUCUAAUAGAGCAUGUGUCUCCACGGCUGAAAUUGCAGAUUUGAGAAAAAAAUAUAAGAGGAUAUGUCAGACACGAGAGGGAAUUGAAAAAGGAUCCAGACUUUCUGCUUGAAUUUAUAUUGUUUUAGAUGUCUUAUAACUAUUAGAUGGAGUAAGGAUGACAUAAUGAUGACAUCGCGGUUUUAGAUUGUACUCAAUCCAAUGAAUAGAAGUUAUCCAAGCAAAUCCAAAUAACAUGUCGAGAUAAUGACCAUUUGCACAAAAAAGAAAGUCAAACCUCAUUCCAAUGACAAUAAGACUUUUGACCCCAAUUGAAUGAGAGAUUAGCUUAUUUGUGCUCAAAUACACAAAUCUUUAUUAAAUUCAUAAUAAAAUAAUAUUUUUGAGACAUUUUUACCCUUGUGUCUUAUACACAUUUAGAGAGAGAAAAUAUAAGAGAAAGAGGACUUUGCCGGAGCCUUGCCGGACUCCGGUCGCCAAAAUAUUAUUGACCCCCAGUAAACUCGUUAUCCACCUCAAUAACAUAUUACUAACCCCCAAUAAACUUGUUAUUCAUCCCAAUAACAUAUUACCAACCCCUAGUAAACUUGUUAUCCACAUCAAAACCGAUUCACCUUCACCAAUUUACCUUCACCAAUUCACCUGCACCAAGCCUAGUCUUUCUUGAACCUUCAACCAUGUGGACGAAGUAGGAGCUGACAAAGUUGAUGAAGCUGGAGCCGGUGAAGUUGAUGAAGCCGGAUCCGAAUACGAAGAGCAGCGCCUAGUCAAUGGCGUGGAGACGAUCCAAUACUAAGUCCGAUCAGAUCUAGGCAAACUCUGUGGCCGGAUCAGAGAAGAAGCAGAACCGCGGAGCUUGAGAGAGAGAUAGAGAGAUAGAGAGAUGGAGAGAGAGAGAGAGAGUGAGAGAGAGGCGGUGACGAAGUCCCAGAUCUUGCGGUUUGGAUCGGCGAGCCGAGAAGGAGGAUGAGGCGGUGACGAAGUCCCAAAUCCGGCUGAAACGAUGGCGUUUGCCAGUCGGGUCGAGGAUGACGAUGAAGUUGACGGAUCAGAGGACGAUGACGCGACUCUGACGACCGCACUACUCUUCUGUUCGACUAAAGCGUACGUGCGGUUGUUGCUGGAGGUCGGAGCGGACCUGGAUUAGAGGGCGAUGGCGGAGAGAGAGAGAGAUAGUAGAUCUUGAAUAAGAGGUGGAGGGAUAAGAUCAGAUAGUUAGGUUAGGGAUAAAAAAGUAAUUUUGAUAAGAAUAAUUGAAAUGGGCAACGGAAAACGUUUUUCAUUGGAAUGGGCAAUAAGUCCCAAUAAUUAGUACUAAAUUGGCAUUAUUCCUAGUUCUCUUCGGAACAUAAAUCCAAGUAAAGAAGUCAAAUUAAUUGCAUAAACCCAUUUCACUUUUACGAACCUACAAUUCACUUUAUCAUAGUCAAAAUAGCAAAAUGGACUCAGACUUCCAUUUUUCAACAAUAUGAAUUAACGGUUUGCAACUGUGCAUCUGUGGCAGUCUUCUCUUUUACAUAUACGAGUAUGUGUAGGUGAAGAGGAAUUUUUUGGUGGGUAGACCAGGAAGUAACUGCGAGCCUACAUAACCCAAAAAAAAAAAAAAAACUAAGCGAGUCUACAACUGCUACUGACCAAAACUGAGUCGUUUUGUUCCUAUUGAUUAUUCUUGGGAAAAUGCCCAAAUGCACACAAAUAAGGUUUCAAUAGCCCAAUUCAAUCAAAAAAUUUUGCUUAUACNNNNNNNNNNNNNNNNNNNNNNNNNNNNNNNNNNNNNNNNNNNNNNNNNNNNNNNNNNNNNNNNNNNNNNNNNNNNNNNNNNNNNNNNNNNNNNNNNNNNNNNNNNNNNNNNNNNNNNNNNNNNNNNNNNNNNNNNNNNNNNNNNNNNNNNNNNNNNNNNNNNNNNNNNNNNNNNNNCUCUUCUCUCUCNCUCUCNCUCUCUCUCUCUCUCUCUCUCUCUCUCUCUCUCUCUCUCUCUCUCUCUCUCUCUCUCCUUUCUUUGAUGACGGACGCCGCCGCAGCCUUGCCGGCGCUUGUUCUGCAAAGUGAGGUGCACCGGGGUCGGUGGAGGAGGCCGGUGUGCUCACCGUCGGGGGAGGUGGGUGUCCAGAAAAGAAAUAUGAGUGGCCAGAGCAUGACCUCAAGGCAGUUAGAGUUUUUUUUUUUUUUUUAUCCUUACAUUUGAAUAUUGGGGUAGUAAGUGAUUAUUGGGGUUUAGAAUCUGAUUAUUAAGGGCCAGUAAAUGAUUAUUGGGUGUCAGUAAGCAAUUAUUGGGUGUCAGUAAGCAAUUAUUGGGUGUCAGUAACUGAUUAUUGGGGGUCAGUAACUAAGUUAUUAGGGGUCAGUAACUGAUUAUUGGGGGCAGUAACCAAGUUAUUAGGGGUCAGUAACUGAGUUACCGGUGACGGGAAUCCGGUGACCAAAGAAAAUUUGAGUUACUGAGAGUCAGUAAUUAAUUAUUUGGGGUCAGUAACCAAGUUAUUGGGGAUCAGUAACUAAUUAUUGGGGGUCAGUAAAUGAUUAUUGGGGGUUAGUAACCGAGUUACCGGUGACCGGGAUCCGGCUGCCGUUGACUGGAGUCCGGCGACUGGUGACCGGAGUCCGGUGAGGUUCCGGCCAAUUAUUCUCUCUCUUCCACUUUCUCUCUCUAUGCAUGUUUAAGGGUGAGGUUAAAAUAGUCUUAAAAUAAUAUGGUUUGUUAAGACUUUAGCAAAGAUUUGUGCAUUUAGGCAUAAAAAAUGUUACCUUAUAUUGAAAUGGGCUAAUGCAAAAGAUUAUCAUUGGAAUGGGAAAUGAGGGGUUUGAAUUAGUACUAAAUGGGCAUUUUUCCAUUUUUCUUGACAUAUUUUUACACGUCAAGAGAAUGUGACAUAUUUUUUUGUGAACUCGGGUAUAAAAAUGACUGAAAGAAGAAAUCCUUGGUCUUAAAACGACAAAACUUAAAAUCCAAGUAUGAAGCUGAAAGCUCCUCAAGACGUCCAUCAUCAAAACUAUUAUCUGCAUAUACAACAUUCUUUUUUAGAGUAUAUAUAGUACGAUUCAUGUCUGCAUGGAAGUUGACAAUGUCGCUAAUAUUUAUCUAAAUGUUGCUUAAAUUGUAAGGCUCUAAAAGUCCCCGCCUAGAGCCGAUUAGUCUCCGUCUAGCUAGGCGUCUCAGCACCGUCCCGAUUAUGGCUAAUCAUGAGAGUUAGGCGGUAAUCCGCCUAGUCGGCCGACUAAUCCGUAUAGUUGGCAUUUAAGCUGCCUAAUUGGCGCCUAUGCCUUCUAACCAAUCGGUCGAUUAGGCGCUUUAUUAUUAUUAUUUUUUUUACCUACUAAACUUAAAAUCAAAACUUUAGAGAACUUCAUGAAGAGAAUUUUAUAUCAAAUGAAGAGGAAGAUGAUGAAGUUAAAUUUUGAGAUUGAGUCCUAUAAGGAGGGAGUAGUAGUAGAGCGAUAUGAAGAAGAUGAAUUUGAGGCAUAUGCUUGCGAGUUCUUCUAGUUUAAUCCUCAUGGUUUUGGUAAUUUUUAUGUAGUAUAUAUGCUCAGUUUUGGAUUCGGUAUGCAAAAUGUUGCCAGUUUAUAUUUAUAUAUAAUUAUCUGCUAUUAAAAAAUUCAAACAUACAAAUGUAGAAAACCGAUUAGUCCCUGGCUGUCCACCUGACUAGCGCCUAACAUUUUUUAUUUAUUUUUGAAUAAAGGGCUGAUACGGCUGUCUUCAAACCUUCAUUAAUGAAACUGUCGAAUACAAAUGUAGAAAACCGAUUAAUCCCCGAUUAAACCGAGAUUAAUCCUCUGGGCGCUAGUCCCUAAUUGUCCGCUCGACUAGCGCUUAACGUUUUUUUUUUAAUAAAGAGCUAGUGCGGCUGCCUUUAAACCUUCAUUAAUGAAAUCGUCGAAUACAAGGGGGGAACAUAAAGCCUAAACCCAUGAUUAUAAAAGACCCGAAAUAAUAUCAAAAAUCUCUACAACGUACCUGUAUUCUAACAAUCACCAACUAGCAAAGAAUAUUAUCCUAAAUGCGACUCUAUUUGUUUUGUCACAGUGAUGACAUAAUGGAAAGAUCACUUGACAUCUAACCAGAUUACAUAUUCUAAUGUCUAAUAAACUAGCUUUCGUAAUAUUAUCGUCAGAAAAUAAACCCGACAACACUUAGUUUCAUCAUGCCACUAGAAGAUAGCCACUAUUUGACGAAACAAACAAUUUGCCGCCAACCUAGAACAUAUGAGGCACAUGUGGUGUUUAGACCGGGACCAAGCCUAUUUAGUUCUGCCCAUAAAAGGCGGCUAGUUAUUAGCAUAACUAAUAAUAAAAAAAACAUAGCAAAAAUUGAAAAAACAAAUAAUUAACCAUCUUGCGCUUAGCGUUUUUUAGAACCUUGUUAAAUGAUAAUCUAGUUUUGUUUGAAAAAUAUUUUGGCCCUUUAAAUUUGAUAUGUAGAAUUUAAUUACACAAAUGGAAAGAAAAAAAAAGAAAAAAGUGUCACUGUUUCAGGGCCUUUGGACAAACAAACAGUGACAUUGGAAGGAUCAUUAGGGAUAACAAACAAUGCCAUGCCAUGUCUGUCAUCUUGUGGUGGCAUAAAACAUCACGUCGUCUGUUUCUUUCAUUUCAUUGUGAAAGGCACGUAUUAUAUCCCAAUAUGUUUUUCUUUGUUUUAAGCUCCCUCUCAUUUUGGCUUGUUGAGCAAUUAAUUUGGUCUCUAAGUGUUUGGAGUUUGGUGGGAGUUUGGCCAAUAAUCGGUUGGGGGGCUCAUAUUUACUUCUUCAUCUUGUGACACAUUUGAGAUCACAACACUAGAAAUUGACACCUACCAACCACACUUCCCCUACAUCACAAUAUAUAUGGAAGAUGACCAACUUUCGGUUCAUCCAUCACCAAGUCUAGUUGCCCCAGUUUCAUGGGUAACUUCUAAUACACAGAAGAAUUAUUGGUAAACUAAUCAAACUUGGUUAUCCACCUAAUUCAUUCCGAUGUAGUUACGCCAUCUUUUUCUGUUAACACUUUCAAGAAUUUUAUUGUCCUACUAGAAUUUGAUGGUGAACAUCAAUGUGCCGAUACAUUAAGUAGACUCAGGCGGAUACAAAGGUAGUUUAAUUCGAUAUAGUAGUAAGAGCAUCUUUAGCAAUGCUAGCCAUUUUUAAGUUAAAUCUUAGUAAAAUUAGCUAAAAUGUCAUUUUAGCUAGCCAUUUUAGAAAUAUGACUGCAUCAAUGCUCUUUAUUUUAGCUAGCAUUACAUCAACAUUAUUCUUCAAAUAGAAAUUAAAUAGUUUAAAUAUAUUUAUAUAUCACAUAAAAUAUCUUACAAGGAAUGUAUUAAAUUAUAGCUAGCCUCAUCUGAGUCAUCUCGCUCUCUAUAUUUAACUAGCGAGAUAACUAAAAGUCAUAAUAGCUAAACUUUGGCUAGUCUAUUGGAGCUCCGAAAAUAUUAAAAAAAACUAAACACACUCUCU